AGCCACCAUACCUACCUACUAUGGCAUUUUCAUUGCCAUUCCGAGAUAUAUUGCCAUGCAACUCCCACCGUUCCGUCUCAUGACUUGUGCCGUCACUCUCAUAUUGCCAUUGCAUGAUCAUAAGACAGCUAGCGAGAUGUUUCAACGUCAUACGCCAAGCUAGAUCGUUGAACAUCCCGGUACACUGCCGGAGGCAUUUCCUAUAGAGUCAUCAUCGUUCUAAGCUUUGAGCUGUGAGUAAAUAAAAGUGUGAUGAUCAUCAUUAUUAGAGCAUUGUCCCAUGUGAGGAAAUAAAAAAAUAGAGGCCAAAGUUGCCCACAAAAAAAGAGAUAUGGAAAGAGGCCGAAGAACCCAAACAAAAAAAAGAAAAAGAAAAAAAGAGAGAAAAUUAGAGAAGGGACAAUGCUACUAUCUUUUUCCACACUUGUGCUUCAUAAUAGCACCAUGUUCUUCAUGAUUGAGAGCCUCCUCGUUUUGUCACCACCAUAUACUAGUGGGAAUCUUUAUUAUAUAACUUGGCUUGUAUAUUCCAAUGAUGGGCUUCCUCAAAAUUGCCCUAGGUCUUCGUGAGCAAGCAAGUUGGAUGCACACCCACUAGUUCUCCUUUUGAGCUUUAACAUACUUAUAGCUCUAAGUGCAUCCAUUGCAUGGUAAUCCCUACUCUUUCACAUUGAUAUCUAUUAAUGGGCAUCUCCAUAGCCCUUUGAUACGCCGAGUCGAUGUGACCAUCUCCUCCUUUUUGUCUCACAACCUCCACCACACUCUAUUCCACCAUAGUGCUAUAUCCAUGGCUCAUGCUCAUGUAUUGCAUGAGAGUUGAAAAAGGUUUGAGAACGUAAGAGUGCGAAAACAAUUACUUCGCCAAUACCGGGGUUGUGCAUGAUUUAAAUUAGUUGUGUGGGGAUGAUGGAGCAUAGCCAGACUAUAUGAUUUUGUAGGGAUAACUUUCUUUGGCCUUGUUAUUUCGAAAGUUCAUGAUUACCUUGCUAGUUUACUUGAAGUAUUAUUGUUUUCAUGUCAAUAGCAAAUUAUUGUUUUUAAUCUUAUGUAUAGGAACAUUCAUGUCACAUGAAAGAAGUUACAAAGGACAACUAUGCUAGGUAGCAUUCCACAUCAAAAAUUAAGUCUCUAUCACUUCCCUACUCGAGGACGAGCGGGAGUUAAGCUUGGGAUGCUUGAUACGUCUGUAACGUAUCUAUACUUUUUGAUGGUUCCAUGCUAUUAUCUUGUCAAUCUUUGGAUGUUUUGUAUGCCUUUUAUAUCUUUUUUGGGACUAACUUAUUAACUCAGUGCCAAGUGCCAGUUUCUGUUUUUUUCGUGUUUUUGACCCUUUUCAGAGGAGAAUUUUAAACGGUGUCCAAACGGAAUAAAACUUCUGAUUUUUUUUCCGGAACAGAAGAUACGCACGGGACGUGAGAACCAAGGCAGAAGCCACCAGGGGACGCCACAAGCCCCCUAGGCGCGGCCAGGGGGGCCCGCGCCUAGCAGGCUUGUGGGCCCCGUGUGGCUCGUCCGCCCUACCUCUUCCGCCUAUAAAUUCCUGAAAAAUCCAAAACCGCGGGAGAGAUCCUUGAAAAUACUUUUCCGCCGCCACAAACUUCUGUCUCCGCAAGAUCCCAUCUAGGGAACGUUCUGGUGCCCUGCCGGAGGGGGGAUUCGGAUACGGAGGGCUUCUUAAUCAACACCAUGACCUCUCCGAUGAUGCAUGAGUAGUUUACCAUAGACCUUCGGGUCCAUAGCUAGUAGCUAGAUGGCUUAUUCUCUCUCUUGGAUCUUCAAUACAAAGUUCUCCAUGAUCUUCAUGGAGAUCUAUCCGAUGUAAUCUUAUUUUGUUGUGUGUUUGUCGAGAUCCGAUGAAUUGUGGAUUUAUGAUCAGUUUAUCUAUGAAUCUUAUUUGAGUUUCUUCUCAUCUCUUAUAUGCAUGAUUUCAUAUCCUUGUAAUUCUCUUCGAGUGAUGGGUUUUGUUUGGCCAACUUGAGCUAUGAUUCUUGCAAUGGGAUAAGUGCUUGGUUUUGGGUCCAUACCGUGCGGUGACCUCACCCAGUGACAGAAGGAGUAGCGAGGAACGCAUCGUGUUGUUGCCAUCAAGGGUAAUAAGAUGGGGUUUACAUCAUUGGUUUGAGUUUAUCCCUCUACAUCAUGUUAUCUUGCUUAAGGUGUUACUCUGUUUGUCAUGAACUCAAUACAAUAGAUGCAUGCUGGAUAGCGGUCGAUGUGUGGAGUAAUAGUAGUAGAUGCAGACAGUAUCGGUCUACUUGUCUCGGACGUGAUGCCUAUAUGUAUGAUCAUUGUCUUAGAUAUCGUCAUGACUUUGCGCGGUUCUAUCAAUUGCUCGACAGUAAUUUGUUCACCCACCGUAAUAUUUGCUACUUUGAGAGAAGCCUCUAGUGAACACUAUGGCCCCCGGGUCUACUUCACAUCAUAUUUUCAGCCUUUCACUUUUACUUCGUUGCACUUUCCGCCUUCAGUUCUCACUUUGCAAUCAAUCUUGAAGGGAUUGAUAACCCCUUUAUAGCGUUGGGUGCAAGCUCGUUUGUGUUUGCGCAGGUACUCUGGACACUUGGCUUGAUUAUCCUACUGGAUUGAUACCUUGGUUCUCAAACCGAGGGAAAUACUUACUGCUCGUGUGCUGUAUCACCCUUUCCUCUUCAAGGGGAAACCAAUGCAAGCUCAAGAUGCAGCAGAAGGAUUUCUGGCGCCGUUGCCGGGGACUUAUGGCGCCGUAGCAGCGGCCAACUCCAGUUCCAUGCUGGCGCGCUGCGCCGCGAGCAUGCCCAAGUUUAGGUUGCGAUACCAGGACUUGGCAAGGCGAAGCACCAUAUAUGCCCCAGCUUGUGCAGCUGACGCACACGAGGCGUCCAGCUGGGAAGUUCCUACCUCGAGCCAUCAGGACAGCCGGCUCAUUGACGCUGGCUCCACCGUGUCCGGCCAAAGGGCAUUCACCAUCGCCAACCCGGACUCCUGGAGCGAGGUCAGGGACUGCAACAGCUCCCACAUAUGGGCCCUGGCGGCAAGGGCCACCUCCUCCGCGGUCUAGCCGGCACUAAUAUUCACCAUGGCGCCGGCGGCACGUCGUUCUUUGCGAUGAGCCUCUACAGCCGUGUCCACCGCAUCUCAAUUCCCUAGAAAGAGAUGGUGGGGGGCAAUGGCGGGGUCAUGGCGUAAAGAAGGAGAAAAAAGAAUUCAACAAUAAAAAGACAAGAUGAGGCAGGGACGACUCACGGUUGAGAAGGAUGUCGACUUCGCCCGCCUCCUCCUCAACCUCGCGGUCCUGGACCGCACACUCCUAAGCCUGGCGAGCGAGCUUGUUCCCCAGGGCCUGUGUCGCCUUAACUUCCUUCGCCAGUUGAGCUUUCAUGUCCUUCAUGGCGGCGUCCUGCUGCGCCUUUUCGUCAAGGCGCAGCUUCUCCAAACGUUCAAGCUCGAUGGCUUGGGAGGCAUCCUUCCGCAACAUGUUGUCGUUGUGUCCGACGCGCAGCCGCUCCAGCUCCGUUUGAUGGGCCGCCUCGUGGUCCUUCUUCUCCAUCUGGAGAAGCUCUACUUCCUGACGUAGCCGGCCGCCCUCACCGCGCAAGGCGUCGCGCUCCGUGACGGCUCGGUCGAGCCGGCCUUGAAGGUCGCCUGUUUGUUCUAUGUAAUGAUCAUUGGCAUGAAUAAACAUUGCAUAACUAUGCGCUUUUAUACCAAUUUACCAACAAUAAUUUGUUUACCACCGUAUGCUUUUCUACCAAUUUAACAACAGUAAUAUGUUCACCCACCGUAUGUUUCCUACGGGAGACAAGCCUCUAGCGAAAACUAUCGCCCCGGGGUCUAUUCACAAAUAUAUUUACAAAAAUACUAAAUACUUCUUUGAAUUUUAUUAUUUGUAUUUAUUUUUUAUAUUUAAUAUAUUUUAGCUAUCUAUAUAUCACUACUUACCGUUUGCAAGUAACUAGUUCAAGGCGAUUGACAACCCUCUUGCUCGCGUUGGGUGCAAUUGUUUGCUAUUUUGUGUGUAGGCGCUGAACACAGGAAAAUGUGUCGUUCUUCUAUUGGUUUAAUAACCUUGGUUCUCACUGAGGAAAUACUUAUCUAUUCUCUGCUUCAUCAACUCCUCUUUGGGGAUAAAUCCAACGCAGAUCACAAUUAUCACGCGUGCGUUCCCACCCAACAUCGGCGGCCCACAUUCAUACCGAUGUAGAGCGGUCGCUCCGCAUUGAAGCCAUCCCGGAGCGGAUGUGGCAUCUCACUAGCACCGACGUUGAAGCGGUGCAUCGACCGACAGUGCCGCCCAUUGCACACCCGUGUGAGCAUGCCUCUUCGCUGCACUCAAACGCCUCUAUUAAACCCGCAUGUGUGCCAAGAAACCUAUUAUAGUAACAUGUCCAUUUGCGAGAUAGUCGGCCUUAAACACAACACCGGGAAAGCUCCCUGCGCCCGCCUGCUAUAUAAAGGAGGCCAGACGCUGGUAAAGGAUCGCACCACUCCUCCACUCCACAUCUCCCCCUUCCACCAUUUUCCCCCCCUUUCCAUGGCAUCCGACGAGUAGGAAGAGCAGUUGUCCAGUAUAAAAGUUGGUUGGGUGGCUCGCUGAGCCCUCUAGAUACGAACUAGGCAACUUGCUGCUCCUCCUCCCUCGCCGAGCUCGACAAAGAAAGUGGCCGCACCAAGCCGGCGCCUAGUUCAACAACUCUCUAUUCCAAGCCAGCUCACAGAGGAGUAGAGAGUUGCUCCAGACCGGCAUGGUGGAACUGACAUCAUGGCUGCCAUGGACGAGGCCAGGCGCCAAGCCAUCCAGCGUCGACUUUCGCGGAACCGCGUCGUGCUUGUGGACAAAGAAACUAGCUUGGAGAUUGACAAGGCUGCGGGGUUCGUGGGAGUUACCCGCAACUCUCAUACCAGUCGUGCAUGGCAAAAUUUUAGUCAUCGACUUGACUCAUUCCCGUAACCCACGGUGCCGCGCGGCGCAACGCGGCGCGGCGUGGCGAGGAGAGGCGGGCGACGGAGGAGCGCGCGUGUAUGUCUCUCUUGUUCUCAUGCUCAUACAUGUGUGAAACAUCAUCCCUUAUAAGGAGGUCCAACUCCUACCAAACUAGCAACGUGGGACUAAACUUUAGUUCCACCUCUUUCCUUGCACGAAUGGGAUAAGUGGGCCUCUAGGAUUUAUUGGAAAUUCUGAAGAAGAUCAUUGGGCUAGCCCAAAAUUAUUAAAUUCCAGCAAUCCCCCACCAGAUCCUAGAGGCACAAAAAAAUUGCCUUUGGUUCCAAAACACUGUUUAUAUACCGGUACUGCACAGGAGACUAUUAAGUUUAACUUCCACCUAGAACUAUAUGUUAUACUAGUAAGCAACUUGAAUAGUGGACUAUGCCUUGAACUGCAAGUUUUCUGUGAAUCUAGUUUCACAUAGAGCCUUGACUGAUACUAGGCUACCGUUGGUGGAGCUUAUGCGUCAUACUCCGAGGACUUUCAUAAGUUUACUAGAGAGCACCCUACUCUCAUAGAUUGCGAUGUUAACAAUCAGACUCAUGUAGGUGUGUUCUUCAAAAGAGUUCUGUAGGACAACAUCUCUGCUUCAACAAGACAUUUAGAACAUAUAAAGAUAUAUAUCAACCUUCCAUGCAUAUUAGGAAAGUAUUGCAUCUUCAUGGAGUGGUAUUAUCAAUGGUAAGGAUACUUUCCUCUCACUUGACCAACAACUUGUCUUCCACAUCUAAUUCACGGGAUCUCCGGUCACAUUGAAUAGUUUAGCACCGUGAACAACUCAUAUUGUGGGUCUCAUACCCAUCCCCUUCGAUGCAUUAUAUAUCACAUUACAAGAUAGACCCUUAGUAAAAGGAUAUGCCAAAUUUUUAGAUGUUUGGAUAUAAUCCAAUGAAAUAACUCCGGAGUUUCUCAUUUUCCUCACAGAGUUUAACCUUCACUGAACAUGUCUUGAUGACUUCAUGUUAUCCUAUGAACUACUCACUUUUGCACUUACAGUUUGAUUGUUGUGGUUCAUAAGAACACCUGGUGCAGGUUUCUCAACAAACUAUAAGUCAUUCAAGAGCCGACGAAGCCAAUCUUCUUCGCCAUAGCUGUAUCUAGUGUUGUGAGUUCUGCUUCCAUUGUUGACCUCGUUAAGAUUGUUUGCUUGCAAGACUUCCAAGAAACAGCGCCACCACCAUGAGUAAAUACAUAUCCGCUCGUGGCCUUUAUCUCAUCAGCAUGAGAGAUCCAGUUUGAGUCACUAUACCCUUCAAGUACCUUUGGGUACCGAGUGUAUUGAAUUCCAUAACUCGUAGUGCCCUUCAAAUAGCGCAUAACUCUUUCUAGAGCUUUCCAAUGAUCAUCUCCUGGUUUUGAGACAAACCGGCUCAGCUUGCUAGCAGCAAAAGAGAUGUCACGUCUCGUAGCGCUUGCUAAAUACAUGAGCGAGCCAAUUAUUUGGGAUUAUUUCAAUUGAUCUCUAGCAAUUAUUCGAUUCUUUCGAAGCAACACGCUAGCAUCAUAAGGUGUUGGAGAAGGCUUGCAGUUAGUAUAACCAAAGUGACUCAAGAGAUUUUCCACAUAGUGAGAAUGAAGCAAAGUAAUCGCACCGUCAUCACUUCUCAGCAGCUUGAUAUUCAGAAUAACAUUAGCUAAUCCUAAAUCCUUUAUCUCGAAACAACGAGAUAGGAAAUCCUUGACUUCCUUAAUAACAUUCAUAUUUGUUCCGAAAAUCAAUAUGUCUUCAACAUAUAAGCAGAGGAUAACUCCCUCGCCCCCACCAUGGCGAUAGUACACACAUUUGUCAGCUUCGUUUACAACAAAGCCUACACCUAUUAAAGUUCUUUCAAACUUCUCAUGCCACUUCUUAGGUGCUUGCUUAAGUCCAUACAAUGACUUCAAAAAUUUGCACACUUUUCCCUCAUGACCGUCCAUUAUAAAUCCAUAUGGUUGUUCCAUAUAAAUUUCCUCGUCCAACUCUCCAUUUAGGGAAGCAGUCUUAACUUCCAUUUGGUGGACGAGAAUACCAUGUGAAGCUCCUAGUGAAAGAAGUACUAGAAUAGUGGUCAGUCGAGCCAUAGGUGAGUAAGUGUCAAAGAAGUCUUCACCUUCCUUUUGGGUAUAACCUUUGGCCACGAGUCAUGCCUUGUACUUCUCAAUAGUACUAUCAGGCCUAAGAUUCUUCUUGAAUACCCAUUUGCAGCCUAUAGGUUUGCACACAUAGGGACAAUCAGUUAUCUCACAAGUUUCAUUUGCGAGGAUGGAAUCCAUCUCACUACAAACCGCUUCCUUCUAGUAGUCAGCAUCUUCAGAUACAUAAGCCUCUGAAAUAGAACUGGGAGUGUCUUUUAUGAGAUAUACAAGAAAAUCAUCACCAAAGGACUUUGUAGUCCUUUGACUCUUGCUCCUUUUAGGAUUCUCCUUGUUGUUCUCCACAGGAUCUUCAAGAUGUUGUGUUGCAAUAGUCGGUUCAGAAGGUGCACCUACAUCUUGACUCGAUAAGCUAGGCAUCUCCUGAUUUGAUGCGCUAGCCAUAUCCUUAAUGGGAAAUAUAUCUUCAAAGAAGGUCACAUCAUUCCACUCCAUGAUUGUGCCAACAUGCAUGUCAGAUACCUCAUAUUUUAUAAUCAAGAAUCUACAACCAAUGCUAUGAAAAUAUACCCCAGGAAAACAUAAUCCACAGUUUUUGGCCCAAGCUUUCGCUUCUUUGGAAUUGGUAUAUUGACUUUUGCCAAGCAGCCCGAAGUUCAUAGGUAAGAGAGUUUUAACCUUUUCUUCUCCCAUUCCUCAAAUGGAGUUAUCUCUUUGUUCUUUGUGGGAACUCGGUUUAGGACAUGACAUGCAGUCAAAAUCGCAUCCCCCACCAUGCCUUGGAGAGACCUGAUAUGACUAAAAUGGCGUUAACAAAAUCAGUUGGAGUGUGGUUCUUCAUUUCAGCUACCCCAUCUGACUGAGGUGAAUAGGGAGGCGUUCUCUCAUGGAUUAUACCAUGUUCGGCACAAAAAGAAUCAAAUUCAUUGAAAAAAUACUCUCCACCAUGAUCAGACCUAAGCCUCUUAAUUUUCUGAUCAAGUUUGUUUUCCACUUUAGCUUUAUAGAUCUUGAAGAAAUUCAAAGCCUCAUCUUUAGAUUUUAAAAGAUACAGAUGGUACCAUCUAGUGGAGUCAUCGAUUAAUGUCAUAAAAUAUGACUUUCCACCUUUCGUCAAAAACACUGUUCAUUUCACAAAGAUCUGAAUGUAUGAGUUGUAGUGGCGCAAGAUUUCUUGUUUCUGCAGUUGCAUGAGACUUACGAGGUUGCUUAGCUUGCACACAAACUUGACCCUUAGAUCCCUUGAUAGAAGUGAAGUUCAGGAUCAAGUUCAACUUGACUAGCCGCGUCAUAGAACCAAAAUUAACAUGACAAAGACGUGAAUGAAAGACAUUUGAUUCUCUAUUAUUGCAAACGUGAUUAAACCCUUUAUUACAAAACAUCUAAUAAAGAUAGUCUGAACAAGCCUCCUGACUCAUAACCUUUACCAAGAAAAGUUCCAUACUUGGAUAUAAAAUUUAUUGGACUGAAAGACAAACUUGUAGCCAUCUCAACAUAGAGGAGAUCCACUAACAAGAUUUUUAUUAUCGGAGGGUACAUAAUGCAUGUUCUUCAGCCGCAUUAUUUUUCCUGAAGUAAACUUCAGAUCGACCGUGCCAACACCACGAACAUAAGCACUUGAACCGUUUCCCGCCAGGAUGGAGGUAGUCCCUGCGGCCUGAUAUGAAGAAAACAUAGAAAUAUCACCGCAUAUAUGCACAUUAACACCCGUAUCAAUCAACCAAUCAGGAGAACGACAUAGUGAGAGAAUAGUGGGAAGUAUACCAUACCCAACAUCCUGCAUCUCAGCAUCACCAAUGAUAACAUUAGCAAUCUUGUCGCCUUUCCCAUGUUGACGCUUUUCAUAACGGUUAGGGCAACUAGGUGCCCAAUGAUGAGGAUCUCCGCAAACAUGACAAACACCUUUCUUUUUGUCAGUCUUCUUCUUGAGUGUGCUGUGAAGCCUUGUUCUUCCCAUCAAACUUUCCCUUACCAUCAAAUUUGCCCUUGUUAUUGAACUUGUGGGGUUGGAAGUUUUUCUUCUGCACCAGAUUGGCACUAGAACCUCCUUCCAUACCUCAAGCAUGUAUGUCUUGCCUUUUCUUCCACAUCAAGAUUACCAAUGAGAUCCGGAACGGAAAACUCCUUCCUCUUAUGAGUGGGAGAGGUAGCAAAGUUCCUCCAUGAAGGAGGAAGCUUAGUAAUAAUACCUCCGGCAACAAACUUCACCGGUAACAUACAAUUGAAGUUCUCAAGUUCUCCAGCAAAUGAUUGUAUCUCGUGAGCUUGUUCAACCACAGAACGCUCAUCAGUCAUCUUUAUUCAUAGAAUUGUUCCAUGAUAUACAGCUUAGUGCCAGCAUUCGAGACUCCAAACUUGGCCUCGAGCACGCUCCACAUAUCUUUCCAUUGUCAAUUGACGCAUAAGCAUCAACAAUGUUCUCACCAAGAAUACUCAAGAGAGCAUCCUUAAACAAGGUAUCAAUUUUCUGAAAAGCGAAUUCCUGUUGAGGAUCAAGAAUUCCUUCAGGUUUGCCAAGAGUGGCAUCGUAGCAGCUCAUGGUUUGAAACCAUAGAACAUCCCUUACACACCAUCUCUUAUAGUGCACACCCUCGAACAUAGGAGGCCUCAUGGAAGCAGCAAAACCACUCGGGGUAAAUUUCCUAAAAUAAGGUCUUCGGAUUGUUGGAAAUAUGAGCGAUUUACCAAGUGAUUUUACUAGCAGAAAUAGUAGAUGAAUCAUGACUACCAUAGCAAUUAUAAGACAAGCCAGUCGAUUAUACACAGAGUAUGCAAGUAGCAUAUGAAGUGAUGAGCAGGAACGAAACAUAUCUAGAAAAGAAACUAUAACAAGAAGUUGUGGCAGGAACUCAAACAAGAAGAACACGAGAACAUACUGAGUUGGAGCAGCAGCUAUAGUGGGAUUUGCGUUGACGUCGUCAUUGGCCAUGUUGCCGAAGAGGCUGUCGAUGUCGGGGAAGAAGUCGUCAUCCGGGAAGUAGUCGUCAGCGUUCGUGAUGGAAAAGCCAGUAGUCGCAUUGAGCGCUCCCCAAAAACCUUAUCGCCCUUCUCCAGUACAUGACUCAAAGAGACGGGGUUUCGGAGGCCUACUGUUCCGACCUGCGGUGCACGUCGCAAGCCGGGGCGGGGAAAAGCUAGCAGUAGCUCAGAGAUUGGAACUCGUUGGCAUGAGGAAGAUGGUAUUCUCGUGUGUCUCUCUGGAGAGGAGCGACCUGUCUUUUAUAGGCCCAUGAGAAGGAGGCAGGCACGCAACAUCGGGAGGCGAAGCAAAAGAGAUUGCAGUCAGGUUGAUAAUAGUCGAGUGACAUUACUUCGUCGGUCCAAACUAAGGAAUCUGUUAUAAAUGUUUUGAAAUAGAUAUUGUUCUCUCUUUGAUCAGGGAUUGCUAUAUGAAAAUAAGUGGAGUUUGAAAAAGGGAACGAAAUGCUCAAACCGGAACUGCUAGAGGAACGAAUUUUCAAUAGCAUAACUUGGGCUCCUAGAAUAUGGUGCCCUUGAGACAAUCUAUUUGAUUGCAGGGUUUUGUUCUGAAGCAAAGAUAUCCGCAGAGGACGGUUCGUUCGUCCUAUUCUGAUAUUCAGGACCAAGAGGUACUGCAUUCUCUGGCUGAAAUGCCAACGGAACUCUGUCUAUUCUCUAAUUCACCCGAUCCGAUAGUACCUGUUUUUGGAACGUCCAGUGCCAAAGUCAUUGAAUGGGUAAGUCACGAAUCCAAUCCCUUUGACAAAUCGGAUGUCAUAUUAUAUAUCAUAUCCUAUAUAUAUAUAUAGAAAUAUCAUAGAUACCCCGUUUCGUGACGAGGCGAGACGGGCGGCGGAGGAGGAGGAGCGUGCGUGUAUGUCUCUCUUGUUCUCAUGCUCAUACAUGUGUGGAAACAUCCUUUCUUAUAAGGAGGUCCAACUCCUACCAAACUAGCAAUGUGGGACUAAACUUUAGUCCCUCCUCUUGCCUUGCACGAGUGGGCUAAGUGGGCCUCUAGGAUUUAUUAGAAAUUCUGAAAAAGGUCAUUGGGCUGGCCCAAAAUUAUAAAAUUCUAGCACAUAAUUGGGGGGGGGGGUAUACCUCUGGGGCUCCCGAUAGUCCGAUGAGCAGGCUGCCGGACAUGAGGCAGACAAAGGGAUCCGCAGCGCUCGGCCAUAGAUUAGUGUAGGGUAUCCAUGUCGUUAGAAUGGAGCUCCACGCGACCAGACGUGCACAUAGUUUUACCUAUUUUAGUUCAAAUAUGUCCAAAAUGCAAUGAAUUUAGUCCGGUUUAUAUGAAAUCCGUUGUGUUUGCAUGAGUUUCAUCUGCUUUGUUGGAAAAGUGUUUGAAAUAUACUUCCUCCGUUCCAAAAUAUAAGACCUUUUAGGAAUUUCACUAUAAGACUACACACGGAGCAAAAUGAGUGAAUCUAUACUCUAAAAUAUGUCUAUGUACAUCCGUAUGUAGUUUAUAGUGCAAUCUCUAAAAGGUCUUAUAUUUAGGAACGGAGGGAGUAUGUGAGUAACGAUGGAUGACCGACAACACUCGAGAAUAUCAUUUUUGGUGGUGCUCCUCAGGUGCCGAGUCAUCACUUUCAAGGUGAAAACCUAAGGUCUAACUUUCGUUUUGUGCCUUAUAUUAGAGUAUUUAACCAAAAACCACCAUAAUUCAUGGAAACGUGCCUAGAAACUACUACUAUACGUUUUUGUGCCGAAAGCUACCAUUUUUAUCCUAAUCAGUGGCAAAAAACUACCAAGUGUGAAUAUUGCUCCAUUAGCCUCUUUGAAAUGCCUUUUAUCCUAAUCCGUUAACUACUCCAUUAACCUACCUGGCGCAGCCCCGCCGCCGUCGCCAUGGCCUCGCCCAAAGCGGCGGCCGCCCCGUGCCUCGCCGUCGGCAGGCCUCCUUGUCGCCGACCACGUCGCCGUCGGAUCCCGGCGUCCUGCGAACCGCCCCACGCUGCCAGUCUCCAUGCCCUCGCACCGAGCGGCGGCCGCCCCGCGCCUCGCGGCCGAAGGCCUCCCGUCGUGGACCCUGCCGUGGUUGGAUCCCACCGCCUCGCCUCCCUGGCGCAGCCUCGUUGCCCCGUGAACCGCCCCGCGCCGUCCAUCGCCAUGGCCUCGCCUCGAGCGGUCGUCGCCAGCGUCUCGCCGUCACCAGAUCCGGCAGGCGUCGCCCUGGUUCCGCCUCUCCCGGACCUCCCCGCCGCCCUGCUCAUGCCGGAGUGCUGCGUGUAGAUCGCGUCGUCUCCUCCAGAUCCGGUCGCACCGCCGCCGUACUUCAUCUUCUCCACCUCCGGUGAAGGCCGCCGCCGUCUCGAUCUCUUUCUCCGGUGACGGCAAACUUAACGGUGCUGACUUUUCCGUCCUGACAUGUGGGCCAACCCUGUCAUAAUGAGUUUAAACGAGCCAAAUGAGGCGUUUUGCAGACUUGAUUGUUUUUAGUCACAGAUUAGCAAAAAAAAAUUGAUAGUUUUUGGCGCAAAAACGAAUUGUGAUAGUUCCUGGGCACGUUGGCGUGAAUUGUAGUAGUUUUUGAUUAAAUACUCCUCAUAUUACCUUGAUGAAGGUAUUGUUUCGAGAGCUCGGUCUUUUUAAGGGAGAAAACCUAAGAUCUUGGAUCGGACGACGAUGACGCUUGUGCACCGAUUUUUUUUUAAAGGCAUCAUUUUUUAGGAUGGUUUGAGUGUCGCUGCUGCUGAGAAGAGUUGUUCACUGUGACGAGUAGUUGAAAAUGCUCUUACUAUUACAUUUUUCUUUCAAACACGUUACAGUUUACUCCCACCUCAAGUAGUUCCGAGCUACUGUACGUAGUAGCCACACACAUGGAGCGACUCACUCACCUCCAACCAAUUUAACUUUCGUGAAUCUUUGAUCGCUUUUCAUUUGGCCCAGCUCGACGUCACGCGGAUGUCCCCGAUGGAUCUCGCCGGCCACACGCCCCUCGACGACGACGAGAUGAGCAGCGUGUGAUCCUCGUCGCCCCGUCCAUCCAACCGAAGAUAAGACGCCCACUCCCUCCCCUCCACAUGGCACCCACCCUCCAAUCCCUUACUUAUUCCCGCCCCCCUCACUCCUCCAUCCCCUAGCUCCACCUCUCAUCCGCUCCUCAGCCACACCUAGAGCAUCUUAGCUCCAGCUAGCCACCAAUGGCCGCCGCACUGAGCCUCCGCGCGCCCUUCUCCGUGCGCGCUGUGGCGCCACCGGCGCCCCGCGUGGCCCUUGCGCCCGCGGCCCUCAGCCUCGCCGCCGCCAAGCAGGUGCGGGGAGCCAGGCUCCGCGCGCAGGCGACGUACAAGGUGAAGCUGGUGACGCCCGAGGGCGAGGUGGAGCUGGAGGUCCCCGACGACGUCUACAUCCUGGACCAGGCCGAGGAGGAGGGCAUCGACCUGCCCUACUCCUGCCGCGCCGGCUCCUGCUCCUCCUGCGCCGGCAAGUUGGUGUCCGGCGAGAUCGACCAGUCCGACCAGAGCUUCCUCGACGACGACCAGAUGGAGGCAGGGUGGGUGCUCACCUGCCACGCCUACCCCAAGUCCGACAUCGUCAUCGAGACCCACAAGGAGGAGGAGCUCACCGCAUAAGCUGCUUACCCUGCCUCUCUUUGCAACAAGAUCGAGCUGAUAUCAUAUUAUCUCCCAUCAUGCAUGCAUGCAUGGAUAUCGCCAGAUACACCGAUUUGUUUGUGCUCGAAUGAAUUGCUCGAUGCAUGGUUUGCUCCAGUAAUAAUGUCUUCGAAUUACUACCUUUUUGUACCGUAAGAUAUACUACUGUCGUAAUACUAGCGUGUACUUAAUUCAACGUACUGAAAUGAAUCCUGAUGGCUGAGGUGUCUCUCUGAUUAAUAAUAUCUUCUUUUUUACUUAAGAUAAGAGACUGCUGAAUGUUGGUUGCUAACGGUGGUGGUUGAUGUUGAAGUUUUGUUGCUGCAAGUUGAUUGCUUCGCCGCGUUAUGCCUUGCCUUGUUUCUCAUUUAUGUAUUUUUGAUGAUGCAUCGUCGCACUAGGUAGCUCUUGAAUUGUGUUUGGGGGCACCUUGAAAUUAAUAAACAGUAAGGUAGGUCACAAUGUCUUCAACCCCCUUUCUAGAAACCACUCUAACAUCAAAUAGAAUAUUACUCUAUUGAUUAGUACAGAGAUGCUAUAUACACUUUGUCACAGUUUGUACAGAGAUUGUAGGUGAAUGCAAUUGAAUUAAACCAUAUGUGACAUGCACCGUGAAGUCGAAACCUUGCAACAUAGUGUCAGAAAUAACAAAUCGAUGUCUUACUUCAUUAGAUGUGGAACCAUCUACCCUCGUUGUUGAUCAUCAUAAUGGUUUUAUAAACCCCCAACAUGUUGUGUUUUAAAACGAUUGUACCAUGUUCUUGUUUCGACUGCCGGGGGGAGGGCUCGUGAUGACCUACUCUUUCUCAAGUUAUCAUGUUAGUCACUUGGAUGACUUAGGCCCUGUUUGGAACUAUAAUACUCCCUCCGUUCCAUAAUAUAAGUCUUUUUAAAGAUUCCACUAAAAAACUACAUACAGAUGUAUAUAAACAUACUUUAGAGUGUAGAUUCACACAUUUUGCUCCGUAUGUAGUCCACUAGUGAAAUCGCUUAAAAGACUUAUAUUUAGGAACGGAGGGAGUAGAUUAUAAUAAUCUAGAUUAUGAAGAUAGAUUAUAUAAUCUGGUUUAUAAAAAUAAUCUAGAUGGACAUGUUUGGAGGCCGGAUUAUAUAAACUGUAAUCCAGAUUUUACAUUGCAUAAUGACCUGUCUGCCCUCUGUUUAAAAAAAAAAAAGGGUGGCGGUGGUAGGAAUGUAAUUAUCUCCAACUUUACAAGGGUAAUAGAUCAUUAGCAAUCCAUAAUCUGAUUUUAGCUGGUAUAGACUAGAUUAUGAGUUUUUAAUAAUAUAUCCAUCUAGUUUUUAUAAUCUACACCAUAAGCUGUCCUGUUUGAAGACAAAAUAGAUUAUAGAAACUGGAUUAUAUAAUCUGGAUGGUUCCAAACAGGGCCUUAGAUGGAGAUAAUGCACACCAUUGAAAAAAUUAUACUUAUAGAUAGGGUCACUUUAGUGGCUGGAAUAGUCUCGGACCUGUCACUCGUACUUCGGUCCAACAACGUACAUGCCAUUGCAAUUUACUGAGCAGGGAUUGCCGCCCGCCACUGAUUUUCUAGUCCCACAUUGGCCAUGGGGAAACCUUUUCAGUGGCGGGCGGUCGGGUACAACCUACCACUGGCAGUGAAGUUGUCACUGGCAGGCACCGGUUUCCUCCAACCAUUAGUGCACCACAUAUGUAAUUUUCUAAUUUCCUGCAUUUGUUUUUACAUUUUAGUGUGGUAUUCUUUUGUGACUUUGUUACUGUAUGAGAAUUGUUUGACCUUUGUAGUAUCUUUAUUUGCUAUAUUUUAGACAUUUUAUUAAUAAAGUUGUAUUUAAUUGAAUAUAAUUAUAUUUUUUGAACUACAACUAUAUAUUUUAAAUUACUUUCAAAGGUUCGAAGACAAAUAUUUAUGUCUCGUGAAACAAUAGUAUUGUUUCACCAAUAUUUGAGCAGUUUUUCAGCAUAUGUAGUUCAUAUUUAAUUUAUGUCCAUUAGAUAAACUAAAAAUGCAUUUAAUGCCCCAAAUAUAUCAUAUAAACCUAGAAACGCAUUUAAUGCCCCAAAUAUAUCAUAGAAAACUAGAAUAGUCCUGAAUUUGACCAAGGAACUUGUAAUGGUGUAUACCAAAAAUAAAAAAAGUUUCUGUUAAAAAAUGAUGAAAAAAUUGUGUUCCCAUUCAAACCCAACAUUUUCCCUUAGAAACGUUGAUACUUCCGUGGAGACUGUUAUUUCUACGUGAAGUGCAUCGGAUUUUUUCUGUGAGUCUCUAAUUUUGUUACCACACCUUCGGUUUCAUAUCAUGACACCAUGCAAAGUUCCAUCAUUUUCAAACUGAAUUUACAUCUAUGUAUAAAAAAAAUCAAUACUCUUAAUAGCUAGAAAUUGAUCUGAUGCUUAAAAAUAGCAAAUCAACCCAAAAGGUGAUAAAGUCUAUCAUGAGUCUUUAUGAAGUAAAUUCAACCCCACAAAAGGUGGAAAUUAAAUUCUACCCCUAAAGCAGUAAAGCAAACAUAUUGCAAAAAAUGCAAAAAAGUAGCGUGCGACCAUAAACACCCUCCAUUGAUUGAUUUUGGUCACAUUCCCGCGAGUGAGUGGGACAUGCCCGCACCUUCAACCUGCAAAUGUGGUUGCCUUAUCCCCCAUUGUCGACCUCUCCCAUCCGACUCUACCCAAUCCCUAGCUUGCAAUCACCAUUGCUGCACCCGUCGUUGUCGCCGGCGAGGGAAUCAUCGUCUUUUUCAUGGGUUGUCAUUGUUGCAACAACCCCGGUCAGCGUGGCCGAAAUGCCCACCCCAUGGCCUCCUCCACCAGCAAUGGUGGCCUAACCCGCUGCCACUAGCCUCCUCUUCCUCCAAGCCCGAUGCCUUUAACUCUCCCCAUGUCUCCUUGCGCGUCGGUGGCCCCAAUCUCCUGGUUGUAUUUUGCAAUUGCAAAGGACAUUGUAUUCGUUGUGAGAUACUUAAAUCUGUUGAAAGGAUAUCGAAUUCUAUAAGCAACAUGCUUCUUGCUUGUGGAAUGUGCAGGCUAUUCUUUCAUGGAAAAUUUGGUCUUAGGAUACUUGGGGAUAGGAAAUAGAGAAUUAAUCAAGGUAGAUUGUUGUUAAUCCAUUUUGCUUCAUAUCCUUCUAUUGAUGUAUGAUUAGCUCGUUCUUUCUAGACUACGCCAUAUACAUCAUUUCUUUAGCAAAUUUAUUUACUCCUGCUUGCAUAACUAUGUCGUAUGCAUCAUUAUGCUUAGCUCCUGCUUGCAAGAUUACUUGAGGAUAAUAGGAAGCAAUUAUGGUUUCAGAAUAAACCAAUCAGAAUAAGAAACACAUCCUCUAUACUCACAUCAUCUUUUAUACCUCAAUGCUUGUAGGUGUAGUGUUUUUUGCCCCAUGCAAAUUUGUGUUACGUCAUCUUUUAGAUACAAAUCAUGGUACCCUUGUUCCUGUCUUGACAUCAUGGUCAUGUUUUAAAAAAAGCAUUUUCUUAUUUAUGUUACACCCCACAUGUAUGUAUACAUAUAUUUCUUUUUUAUGUCUCUUUGAAGGUUGUUAGUGCCACAUGUAGGUGGGGUUGUAUUUUUUUAUUGGUGAAAGUUGUUGGUUCUACAUGUUGUGUCACCUUAUAUAAGGUGUAUUACACUUUAAAUAGUAAUGUGCAUAUCUCCAAAAUUUGUAGGGCUUCAAAAUGAGUGCCAAAAUUCUGGCGAAAUGUUGAUUUAUUUCCAUUUCACCACAUUUUGAGCACUCAAUAUUUUCAAUUUUUUUAGCAAAACUAUGCCCAACUUUUCCAAUGAUUCAUAAUUGUUUACCCUUAUUAUUUUAUAGAUGUACUGGCUAUACUAUAGUGUAUAAAUGAUGCGACGAACUAUGUGUUUUCUAUUUAAUUUCUCAACAUGAAUGUAUGCAAUCAACCAUGUAUACCCAUGAUGUGGUAACAUCAACGUAGGUGUGUGCCACAGGUGCUUAUCAACUCUAAGGAAUUCUACGUAGAUCUUGACGAGAACUUUCCACAGAGGAUUGUACGUUUUAAUUCAACAUGUGUUGUGGAUGCUGAAUUGCUCACAUAUAUAAAAUUACCCAAAAAAUGUCUAUUUUUCAUAUUUCUCCAUGCAUCCCUUGUUAUGCAAGGCUCACUUCCUACAUAAAGUGAACGUGCCAUAGAGGAGAAGGUUACAUUUGAGCUCAAGAUGAUCAUGUUAAAAAAUGGCACAACCUUCAACCUUACGGUCACCAACGAGGCACACGGAACCUUUCAGUUGCCCAUGUUGAAGAGGGAUUGCAACCGAAUAAAUGAUGCAAAAUGCGAAGGCAUUCUUGUUUUUUUAGCGAAGGCGUUCUUUGUCGUUUCUUGGCGAACAAGAUGAUGAUGACAACAUCUAUAUGUGGUUCACACCGCCCCCACCACCAUAGUUGUUCUUGGUGGAAGGAUUCGGAGUUCAUAGGCAUAGUUUUAUCAUGCACUUCAUUUAAUGCAUAUGUUAUAUCUUUUUAUAAUCAUCCAAAUUUAUUCCUCAAAUAACGGCUAUAUCAUUUAAAAUUAAAAGAGAAAUAGAGUUUAGGGGACUAGAAUCCCAAAUAGAAGAGGGUCUAUAGGUAAAACUAGUCUUUGCUAGAGAAUCUGCUAUUUUGCUUCCCAAAGCAAUGGGCAAAAGAUGUGCCAGCAAAGUCCAUCACCAGAAAAUAGCAUUCCACGAUAGUGGCUGCAUCUGGCUCGAAAUUAUUCGUAUGCCAGUUCACAACCUCCACAACUAGGAUACCCAUGAUGUUUCGAUAAUCACAUUAGGUUUCCAUCACAUUAUUGCACACAAUGUUUCCAGCCAAACGAGCCCUUUGCGAAUGGCACUUAACUCUAUCAAAUCGGCACUACUGACAUGAGGCAAAUACCAUGUAACAGUGAAUGACACUUAACUCUAUCAAAUCGGCACUACUAACAUUAGGCAAAUACCAUGUAGCAGUGAAUGGCACUUAACUCUAUCGAAUCGACACUAUCGACAUGAAGCAAAUACCACAUAGCAGCGAGAGAAAGUUGCCUUUGUCAUCACGUACAAUAGCUCCCAUCGCACUCGAUUGUGUUUCAUAACGGAAAGAAGCAUCCACACUAACAUUAACACUUCCCAUGUUAGGUCUCUUCCAUAUAUGAUAUUUUUUUCAUACAGCUGAUUUGAAGUUACUGCUCUUAUGAAAUCUUUGGCCAAAACAUUGAUAGAAACUGCUCCCUUUUAGGGUUUUGGAGAGUGUAGGAUCGAAAGUAUGUCUAGUGGAGGGGGCUUCAUUAGACUACUUGAUAAGAUAAAAACUGAACCUUUUUCCUAAUUUUAGUUGUGGGCUAGUUUUAGCAAUUAUGACUAGUCAAGUUCAUCCUACUCAUGCAUAUCUAAGAUUAUAGCAGCGGAAAGUAAAGACAUGCAAAUGUAAUGAAGAGGGUAAGGUAGGAAGAUCAAAUGCAAAGGUCGACACGGUGAUUUUUGGCGUGGUUCUGAUAGGUGGUGCUAUCGUACAUCCAUAUUAGUGGAGACUUCAACCCACGGAGGGUAACAGCUGCGAGAUUACACAAAGGGCUCCACCCACAAGGGCUCCACGAAGAAGCGGCCUUGUCCAUUCCACCAUGGCUUACGUCCACACAAGACUAACCUCACUCACGGUAGAUCUUCACGAAGUAGGCGAUAUCCUUGCCCUUACAAACUUCUUGGUUCAACUCCACAACAUGAAGUAGGAGGCUCCCAAGCGACACCUAACCAAUCUAGGAGGCACCACCCUCCAAAAGUUAAUAGAUGCAAUAGAAGGAUGAACUCCUUGCUCUUGUGCUUCAAAAGAUAGUCUCCUCAACACUCAAUCACUCUCUCAUAGAUUUUGCAUGGGUAGGAGAGAUUGAUCCCAUGGAAAGCAACUUGGGGAGGCUAGAGAUCAAGUUUCAAAUGGUUGAAUUGGAAUCUCUUGAUCUUAACACAUGCAUGAGUAGGUGGCUUUCUCUCAGAAAUAUGGAUCUGGCAAGUGGGUGUGUGUUCUCAGUGCUUCCUUUUCGAAUGCGAGGAGGUGGAGGGGUAUAUAUAGACAUCUCCCAGAAUCCAACCAUUACCACAUUAUUUCCCAAUGCGGUGACACCGAAAGGAAUCUUAGUGGUACCAAGUUGCAAUAAAUGUGGCACCUUUUGAAUUCUUGGUAGACCAAUAUAUGAAUCUCGAUGGUAAAGAUACGAUGAUCUAGACCAGUUUCCAAAUCUCGGUGAGACCAAUUCCAAUCUCGGAAAUUCUGAUUGUUGGAAUUUUCUCAACAGAAAGUUGGUCAUUGAAUCUCGGUGGCUCUCAUAUGAAAGUUUGUGGUACCGCCAGAUUAGAGUCUGGCAACGGAUCCAUUGGGUGGAAAAUUAGUAGGGCCAAGUGGAAAAUAUUGGUGGCACCGAUUUUGCUCGUUUAGCUUUGGACAGGGAUAUCUUGUGGGAGAAUGGCUUAGUAGUUUUGGUGGCUAUCUCUAAGCACUUGAGCAACCAAUUCACCGUAAUACCUCACCCCCUUUAAAUAGUAUUGGCCUUCCUAUGGACUCAAAGUGAUUUAUCACAUAUGUAAAAUGUAGAGUCUUCUUGCUUGAAGCUUGAGCUAAUCCUAUUCCUUCCUUCAUCAAGGGGUUUCUCCACACAAUCCUUUAGCCAAGGCAUCUUUGAACUUUUCUAAAAUAUACUUGGAUAACAUCAUUAGUCCAAUGAUGCAUAUGUUGUGAUCAAUUAUCAAAACCACCUUAGGGAGCAAUUGUGCUUUAAAUCUCUCCCUUUUUGGUAACUGACGACAACAUAUAGAUCAAAGCUUCAACAAAAGGUAUAAUCAAUUAUUAGCAUCGACGCUUUGAGAAGUACGUGGAAAGCAAGAGAUGCCCCUAUAUUUGUGCAUUAUUUUAUAUUUGCAUUGGAAUGCAAAUGCACAAUCGAUUAGGAUCAUGGGUCACUCUUCCAUGUCACAUAUAGCUUGGUGGUGCGCAUAAAUGAUAUGAAUAAAUAGUAAUGCACAUAACACCAAACAAGCAAGUGAAUGAUCAUCAAGUAGAUGGCUCCAAGGUAAUAACGUGGUAGCAGCAAUCAAACAAAGUAUAGAUCAAACACUUCUCCCAAACACAUAAAGUCAACCAAAAGACCAAAAAAUUGAAAAACCAAAUGAGACCAAAUAAAAUGCAAACCUCUCCCUCUCGAAGACUAUUUGAUCUAUACACUUGUCCUCCUUUGGCGACAAGUUACCAAAAAGUUUGAAGGUCUAGAACUAAUUAUCUCUCUGGCUUGAACUCCUCCGGUAGAUGAUGAUGGAGUGGAUAGGAGAGCGUCGAUGAAGGCUUUUGCACAUGUCCCUGGAGCUGGAGGUGUUGACACUAGAGGUGCAGGAGCAGGAGUUGAAGGUGCUAAAGCUUGAGCUGAUGAAGAUGGUCUUGCUUCCAGAACUGGCAUAGUUGUUGACCUAGUCUGGGUCGUGAACUGAGUAGUAGUAGGAAGAGGCGACUCUUCCUCAUCACUUCUAGAGCGGGAUAUAUGCACAGAAUCAACUUUAUGCUGGAGCUGCUCAACAGUGGUAGUCAACUCCGUUACCUUAACCUCCAAGUCAUGGAAUUUUGUCUCCACGAUCCUCUCAAGUCUCUUCUGGUUCAGCAAGAUCUCGGAAAUUUUCUUCUCCAUCCCUUGGAUGGUACUGACCAAGAAUGACAUCUGCUCAUCUCUGGUCCUGAGCUAUGCGGUUGAAGCUGGAGCAUUCCUAGCAGCCGCUGUCUCUGCUACCUCUGCUGCCGCUUGAGCUGUAGCUGAGCUAGGAUGGCUAGGGUCCAUCACAACUUCAUUAUCUUCAAACUCUGGCUGAAGUGGCAGGUGGGGACGAUCAAGUAGAUAUGCAUGCUUGCCAAUCUUGGCAUUGAUGAGCAUCUGAAUAUAUGGAGCAUAUCCACAGGAUUUCUUUUGAUCUACAGCAGUCUUCCUCACAUGCUCAACUAUCAAGUCCAUCAUUAUGAACCGGAAGUGGGUGUCUAGAUGAUCCAACAUGUUGAUGGAAUAACCUCUAAUAAUCUUAUCCUCUCCUGAUUUGGGCAUGAGGGUGUAUCUCAUAAUGGUGUUUGUAGUAGGUAUCCCUGCUUGCAAGAAAUAGACAAAUCCAAACUUGUACAUCUGCACAUAUUUAUGAGGCACUGGCUUGUACAUUUUGCCGUAGAGUUAUGAUUCAUCUUGGGUUCUGAGUACACAUCCAGAUCUCCUUCUUGUGCCUUUGGAUCACCAAUUGUAGUGGCUCACUCAUACAUAAUAGACUCAUACCGGUGACCUUCAGUCAUCCAUACAAUCCUUCCGUCAGAACAGAAAUUAGCGAUGGAAUAGAAUUGCAUGAUCAUCUCAUCAUUCCAAGCAGUCAUCUCUCUGCCAACAAAAUAUUUAAUAUCGACUAGCCUGAAGUUUUCUCUCACAUGGGGAAAAUAAUGCUCACUGGCCUUGAUAUAUUCCCAAUGGACAUAUCUCAUAUCGCUGACUGCAAGACUCUUAUCAUGAAACACACUCUCAUAGAAAUCUUGUUGCUCCUUUAUGUGAAAGCGGGGAUCAACAACAGUUCUCCGUCUCACAUCAUAUGGAUCAACUGAUCUCCACUUACUCACUCCUUGAUCUCUCCUCUUUUGUAUGUCCUGAGCAGUUGGUGAGCAACAUUGUGUAGUGGCAGAUGAGCUCAAAGCUUCAUUAGAACAGGGGCACCCUCUUCCUCUUCUACCGCAAACUCUCUGGAUGCAGAGCCUUUGUUCCUCUGUGCUGCAGGAAUGUCCUUGGUAGUCUUCUUGGGAGCUACAGACUUCUUAGGAGUUGAGAACUUCUUGGGAGCAGAAGGCUUCUUUGGCAUAGCAUCAACCAUCGGCUUUUUCUUCAUAGGAGGAGGGACCUUAUGUGGAAUUUAUUCCUCCUCCUCAUCAACAACUUCUUCUGGGUCUUCAUAUAUUGAGGUUGGCCUUCCAAUAACAUAGUCAAUUCUCUUUCUUGCUCUCGUAUGACAUGGCUUCUUUGCAAGCCUAGCUUCUGGAGCUUUCAUGUCAGAACGUAUGGCAUAUUCCUUCCUCACAGUCUUCCUGACUGCGGUCUUAUCUUUCUGCUUCUCAGGAACAGAUUCCUCUGGAAUAAAGUCAACAUCUUCUUCAUCCGAAUUGAUCUUCCUUCUGGACCUGGUAGCUGCCUUGGACAAGCUAUGGGAGCUAGGUGUCCCUGGGUCAGAAGGUGUCCUCCUAGGACUAGUGCCUGAAUCCAUCUCAGCACUUGGCUCAGUGAAGUUGUUCUGACUAUCCUCUGAUCCUGACAUACUGUCACAGAGCCAAGUAGACAAUCAAACCCUAUGAAUAGAUAUACAAGAUCUAGAAGGGAUGAGCAUCACAAAAAUCAGAAGUUUUGGAAAAAUCGAACUCUGAAAAGUUAGGUUUAACAUUUAGCAAAAAAGGAUUUGUGUUCCAUCGAGACAAAAAUUUCGGAGGCACCGAUACUGACGUACUAAUUAACAGAAACUUGGCACCCUUUUCCGUUCCACUGAAAAGGAGAACUCACUUUCACCGAGACCGUUCUCGGUAGCCCUAAAAAAUCGUUAAGACCAACUUUUCUAAAUCGGUGACACCGAGAUUCAAUCUUGCGGAUGGCUAACCCUAAGAAUUCCAUUGUUCUCUAAUCUAUGGAAUUUUUCUUCUAGAUAGGAUGAGUGUAGAAGUGGACAAAAUUCAUCAAAACCUUAAUGCACAAGAAUCAGAAUUGGAGCGCAUAAAGGGGUCGGAUCCGUACCCUAGCUUGGUGAUGUAUCCGCUACGGCAACGACGACGGUGAAGAUUCCUGUUGACAACGAAGACUCCGGUGGUGAGGGCGCACGUGAGAAUUAAGGCGAUGUCCACGGGACUAGGGCGCGGCAUCGAGGAUGUGCGUCACGCGACGUUUGAAGUGAUUUUCCAAUCAUCGGGUCCGUGAGAUAUAUAUAUCUCCUAGCUGUCGGUGACACCGAUAUGGAAUUUUUGGUGCCACCGAGUUCCACAACUGUCAACUGAAAGUGAAAAUAGGUGAGGCCGGAAAGAACAACUCAGUCAUACCAAGUUAAGAAAACCUGAUCAACCCUAGGCUUCGGUGGGACCGAGAUUUUGUGGUUGGUCACACCGAGAUGCAAUUUGGGAGGUUUUGGGAUUCAGCACUUGUCGAGACGGAUCUAUCAAGCACUUGUGUCCCUAAAGUUCUUGCUCAAAUUUUGUGUUGUAGCAUGAAUAGAAUUUGAGACGAGAAAGCAUAGAUAGCUAGAGGGAAGUACUUAGGCAUUCUUGUAUAUCCAAUUGGCCAAAUGAAAUAGAAAGACAAAUAACAACAAUUGGAUAUCCUCGAAUGAGAAAAAUAUGCAUACCAACAUGCUCACACAAUAAGGUGUCAAAUAAAACAUGGUGAACAUGCACGAACAUUCUAGCAUCUAUCAAGCACUUUGGCGAUAAGGAAUUCAUCUAUAUAUGAGUAUAUUGACAUAGGAGCCAAGUAAGAGUACUUGACAAUAGGUCAUACUCAUCGAUUAAGAACAAGUGGGGUUAUCACUUUUACAUAAAACAUUAAUGUGCUCACAUCAUUUAGGAGACGCUUAUACUCAAGUCUUAGAGUAAAGCUCCUCCUAGAUGUGACAACCCCCUAAGAGGGAUAAACUAACCUUAGGUUUUGUAGUAGAAGAUUUCAAGUAGGUGUAGUAGUGGUGCAUGCUCAUUGUUGAUAAAGAUCAUCUUUGAGUUGGGAGCAAUCCUAGUUGUUUCUUACCCUUCUCACCUACAUGGGUUAGUCCCAAAGCAAAAGGAAUGUAUGCAAGAAUAUCUAUGGACAUGGCAUGAAGUGCAUGAGAGGUGAUGUAAAAAUAUGCAUUAAUUACCUUGUCCUUUGCUUACCUUUGAGGUAAUGUGUGACUCCUUGAACUAAUGCAUAUGGUUGGAGUUGAUUGCAUAUAGUUCUUGCCAAAAUGAAUAAGAGUGAAUUUGAUUGGUAGAGUCACCCCCUCAAGAAGUUUCUAGUUCUUCAUCUUAGGGACCCACAUCAACUUGAUGGGGAUCCUUGGAGUUGUGAUAGCAGUAGAUGAGGUAGUGUUAGUUGUGUCCAUGGGAUUCCACUCGACCUUGGCUUGGGUUUCUUCCUCAAAUGAUUCAAUCUCCUCUUGAAGCUUUCCCUUGCCCUUGUGAUCUUGUGGUUGAAGGUCAUGUUGAGAGCUUGUUCCCUUGGGAAGAGUAGGAUCAUACUUUUCCUCUUGAGGAACGAACUUCGGUAUGGGAUAUAGACCUUCUUCCCAUUCAUCUCCGUUGGCAUUGAGGUAACCAACACCGUGCUUCUUCCGAUGUCCUCCUAGCUUGCGCAUAAUUUACUCGAAUUGCUAACUUUCGGCAAGACUCUUGAAGACACCUCUCUCUUCCUUUCCAUAAAUCAUUUUCUUUCUCAAGUGUAACUUGGCUAAGAGAAUCAUUAGUGGAAUCAAGAGAGCUACUAGAAACAACAUCAUUUGAUCUAACUUUAGCAUUUUGUUACUAGAUGAAGAAACUUUCUUGCAUUUGUUACUAGUGUUCUUAGGUUUGACUUGUGGAAUAAAAGUAGAUAAGAUUAAUCAUUUGAAUAGAUAAGAAUAACUCUUCUUCCGAAGAUCAUCAUUGAUUGCUCUUAGAAACUCAUGAUCUUGUCCUAAAUUUAGCUUCUCGAAGCAUAACUUCUCAUGAGUUCUUGCAAGCUCCCUUUGAUCUUCUAGAGUAGUUUCACGAGCUAACUUAAGAGUGUUAAAUACUUUAGUUAGUUGUUGAGUAUCUUUCUUAUCAUCAUCAUUCGAUUUCUCUUGACUAGCAUGAUUAUGUUCAAGUUCAUUUUCAAUGUUCUCACUAGUCUUAUCAAGGAGCAAGUCAUCUCCUCCUAACAAGUCAUCCUCAUCACUAUCAGAGUCAAAGUAAUUGGGGUGUGAUACCUUGGGGCCUUUUUCCAUGAAGUUGUUUCCAGUCCCUUCAUUUGGUGAAUCAAAUAAGUCAUAGGAGUUGGAGGAAACGAGUUCAAGACCGACAACACCUUCAUCUUGACUAUAGUCAGAGUUGGAGUGGUAGCUUCUCUCAGAUUGGUUGUCAGACUCGGAGCCGGAAAGCCUUUCACCAACAUGAUCUUGAUGUCUUGUUCUUGAGAUGCUCUUGGUGUACUUGUCCUUCCUCUCCAAUUCCUUUCCUCUCUGGGAGUGUCUUCGUUCAUAAUGAUCUUCUCUAAUCCUUCUCUUUGUGAGAGGUGACUCAUCUCUUGAGCUUCGUCUUCUAGGUGACUAUUCUCUUCUUUUGUGGGGAGCCGAGCACUCAUUGGAAUAGUGUCCUGGGUUUCCAUAGUUGUAGCAGUAUCGGUCACGACUAGACGAACGCUUCUCAUCAUGUAUUGAGCUUGAGCUUCUCUCCUUGCAUCUACUUUUGUAGAACUUGUUCAAUUUUAUGACCAUGAGGUUGAUCUCUUCAUUCGUAACAAAGUUGUCAUUUGAAGUAUCUUGAGUAUAACUUGAAACUCUGUAAGUACCGCUUGACUUGUUGUGCAACUCAUCUUUGUCCUUGAGUGACAUUUCAUGAGCAACAAUCCUUCCAAUAGCUUCAGUUGGCUUGAGAUCCUUGUAGUUUGGCAUCAUUUGAAUUAAUAUACACACGGUGUCGUAUCUUCCAUCCAAGGCUCUAAGUAUAUUCUUGAUGAUGAAUUAGUCGGUCAUCUCUUCACUUUCUAAGUCGGCAAUCUCAGCGACUCCCUCACCAUCCUUCAUCUUGAACUUGUCAAGAUGACUUUGAGGCACAUCCAACUUAGAUUCCAUGACAAAAUCAGCACCUUCGUGCAGAUGAAUCAAAGUAUCCCACGUGCAGAUGAAUCAAAGUAUCCCAAAUUUUCUUUGCAUUCUCAAGGCUUGAGAAUUUUAUUGCAACAUGUUCAAUUCUUCCGAUGUCGCAUCACGAUCCGGUUCCCUUGCUUCUCCAAAUAAAUCACCUUGCACACCAACACGAAUAACAGCCCAAACGGUAGGAUUAUGACCAAGAAUAUGCAUUUUCAUCUUAUGCUUCCAACUAGCGAAGUUUGUACCAUCGAAAUAUGCACCUCUACAGUGAUAAUUUCCCUCACUAGGCGCCAUACUCUCCUAGGUUGUGAAACCAAUGCAAUGGAGGCCAAAACUUUGAUACCACUUGUAGGAUCGAAAGGAUGUCUAGAGGGGGGAGGGUGAUUAAACUACUUGACAAGAUCAAAACUUAGCCUUUUCCCAAUUUUAGUUGUGGUCCAGUUUUAGAAACUACGAGUGGUCAAGUUCAGCCUACACAUGCAUAUCUAAGAGUAUAGAAGCGGAAAGUAAAUACAUGCAAAUGUAAUGUAGAGGGUAAGGUAGGAAGAUCAAACACAAAGGUUGACACAACUAUUUUUGGCGUGGUUCCGAUAGGUGGUGCUAUCAUACGUCCACAUUAGUGAAGACUUGAACCCAUGGAGGGUAAUGACUGCGAGAGUCCACGGAGGGCUCCACCCAUAAGGGGUCCACGAAGAAGCGGCCUUGUCUAUUCUACCAUGGCUUACAUCCACACAGGAGACAAGACUAGCCUCACUCACGGUACAUCUUCAUGAACUAGGCGAUCUCGUUGCCCUUACAAACUUCUUGGUUCAACUCCACAACACGAAGUAGGAGGAUCCCAAGCGACACCUAACCAAUCUAGGAGGCACCACCCUCCAAAAUGUAAUAGAUGCGGUAGAAUGAUGAACUCCUUGCUCUUGUGCUUCAAAAGAUAGUCUCAUCAACACUCAAUCACUCUCUCACAUAUUUGGCAUGGGUAGAAGAGAUUGAUCUUGUGGAAAAAACUUGGGGAGCCUACAGAUCAAGUUUCAAAUUGUUGAAUUGGAGUCUCUUGAUCUCAACAGAUCAGUAGGUUGCUCUCUCUCAGAAAUAUGGAUCUCGCAAGUGGGUGUAUGUUCUGAGUGCUUCCUCUAUGAAAUUGAGGAUGUGGAGGGGUAUAUAUAGGCAUCUCCCAAAAUCCAACCGUUACAACAUUAUUGCCCAACUCGGUGACAUUGAAAGGAAUCUUGGUGGUAUCGAGUUGCACUAAAUGUGGCAACUUUUGAAUUCUCGAUGAGACCAAUAUAUGAUCUCGGUGGUACCGAUACGAUGACCUAGACCAGUUUCCAAAUCUCAGCGAGACCGGCUCCAAUCUCGGAAAUUCUGAUUCUUGGAAUUUUCAUAACAGAAAGUUGGUCACUGAAUCUCGGUGGCACUGAUAUGAAAGUUGGUGGUACCGAGAGAUUAGGGUUUGGCAAAGGAUCUCUCUGGUGGAAAAUCAGUAGGGUCGAGUGGAAAAUAUUGGUGGCACUGAUUUUGCUGGUUUAGCUUUGGACAAAGAUAUAUUGUGGGAGAAUGGCUGAGUAUUUUUGGUGGCUAUCUCUAUGCACUUGAUCAACCAAUUCAUCAUAAUACCCCACCCCUUUUAAUAGUAUUGGGUUUCCUAUGGACUGAAAGUGAUUUCUCACAAAUGUAAAAUGUAGAGUCUUCUUGCUUGAAGCUUAAGCCAAUCCUAUUCCUUCCUUCAUCAAGGGGUUUCUCCUCACAAUCCUGUAGCCAAGGAAUCUUUGAAUUUUUUCCGAAAUAUACUUUGAUAAGCUCAUUAGUCCAAUGAUGCAUAUGUUUUGAUCAAUUAUCACGACCACCUUAGGGAACAAUUGUGCUUUCAGAGAGUUUCACCCCUCACAAACUGUUGUCGUUGCCACCAUAUAAACUAAGAAGCCACUACAAUCAGUUAUGAUGUUGGCAGCUCCCCUACUUUGGAUUGGUUUCUCUCUAAAACCUCAAUAGUUACAGAUCCUGACCGGUCCUCACAAACUGCCUUAUGGAUCACAUCUUUCACUCCAAGCUUUUUCCAAAUUCUAGAAGCACAACAAGAGGUGAAUAAGUAGUUAGAUAUCUUCAAACCCAACAUUGACUAGUAACAUGUAUGUGACAGCCAGUGAGCACUCCAAAGCAUGGUCGAAUUCCCCUCAGAACCUUCCAUGCAAAGGGUUUAACUUUGCGACAAACUCGAAGCCUUCAAGUAUGUUGUGUGUAAGUGUUAAACAUAAGAAAGUUGUUAAACUAAAUUGUGUUCUUAAUUUGUGCUAUAUAACUAGAUAUUGUGCCUUCUAUGAUACUACAAUUACUGUUAAACUGAAAAGCCCGCCACGACAACCAAAAAUGUUGACGUGUUCACUUGGCCUGACAAACAAUACUAGUGGCGGGCAUGUAUAAUAAACUGCCACUGGUACAAACAUUAGCAGUGGUGGACGCCCUGCCUGCCACUGAUGACUGGUUAGUAGCGACAGACACCCUUCACAAUAACCCUGCCAUUGGUAGGCAUUUUGUGUCUGCCACUGCUAGCCUGUUCUCCAGUAGUGACAAGGGUUUUCCUCCAAGACUAUAUCAUUCAUACCUAGUAUGCGUAGGAGUUAUCACCCGAUUUAAUGCAUGCAUGAUAGCAUGAAUCCUUUAGGGAUAAUUUGGAAGCAAGGUAAAGAAAAUGAGGGUAGCAAAUCCUCCCUUAUCACAUGAAUUUAAACAUCCCAUGUUAUUCACUUUAUUAAGUUGCCCCAUUUCAUUAAGUAAAAUUGUGCCCCUCAAAUUCACAAGAUUCCAAAGUUGUGGGAAUGAAAAGUACAAUGAGACGUCCAACUAAAUCAUAUAAUGUUUGUGAAUUUUGAAUCAAAGUUUUUUGAUUGUGCCACAGAAAGAACAAGAAUAUUAUUUACACUUUGUUUGAGCCAAUGCAAUUUUUCUUAUGUAAUGCAAGCAAAAUUGAAUCUGAAGGAGAAAAAUUUCCAAUAGGAUACGACUUUGGGGAUCAAAUAACACCCAUAGUAAAAAAGCAUAGGUCUAUUUAUAUCACAUCUAUAUUAUCUCACAUCUAAGUUAUGACAUCAGCGAAAGUCAAUGCUUUUCCAGCCCACCGCAUUUUCUUAUAUUUAUUUUUUUGCGACAUUUUUUCAUUCGUUUUUUUAUUGGAGCGUGCUAAAAAAUGCAAUAAGACUUGCCUAUGAAUCGAACUCAAGACUAGAUGGUGGUAGUUGAGAGCUCCCACCAGUAUAACCAUUACAUGCAUUUGAUAAAUUCUAAGCGGCAUAUCUUUAAGAAAAUACAACAGAGUUGAUAUUAGAAGAAAUUUUCAAGAAAAAUGUAAAAAAUUUUAAAUGUAAAAUAUUUCUGAAAACCAAAGAAAACUUGAAAUUUCCAAAGUAUUUUUCAAAUAUAAAUAAAGUUUGUAAUGCCAAACAUUUUUUGAAAAAUUAGAAAACAAUUUGAUAUUCCGAUUUUCUUAAAAAAGAUGACACUUUUUGAAAAAUUCCCGAACAAUUUAUAAAUCAGGUACACCUUUUAAAAUUCCAAUUCCUUUAAAAAACAUGGUUAAAUGAAUAUAUUUUUAUUGUAAUCAUAACUUUUCAACAAAUGUUUUUUUGCACCAUUAAAAGAAUGAGGGUGCAAAGAAUGUUCAUGUAGUUCACAAGAAUGUCCGUGAUGUUUAAUAAAAAUGUAUUAUACAAUGGAAAAUAAUCAUAACAUUCAAAUAAUUAUUAUUUACAAUCUUUUAAAAGAAACUUCACGCAUUUAGAAAAAUCAAAACAUUUUCUAGAAAAAAUAUUUGUCCGAUGUAAAAAAAAUGUUCACGUAUUUUUUUAAAAAUCAUACAAUUUAGAAAAAUGAUUUAAAAAAUGUUUACCAUGUAUUCUAAGAAUGCUUGGGCCUGUACUUGGAAAAAAAUAUUCAUCAUGCAUUUUUAAACAAUGGUAUGUGUGUUAAAAAAUGUUCCUAGUGUAUACAUGAAAAUGUACAAUGUGCAUUACAAAAGUUGACAUGUAUUUGUGAAAGCUAAAUUGCUCCCUAAGGUGGUUUUGAUAAUUAGUCACAUCAUAUGCAUCAUUGGACUAGUGAGUUUAUUCAAAUGCAUUUAAAAAAGUUCAAAGAUGCUUUGGCUAUAGGAUUCUGUGGAGAUACCCCUUUGAUGCAAGGAAGGAAUAUGAUUGGUUCAAGCUUCAAGCAAGAAGACUCUACAUUUUAUACUUUGUGAGAAAUCACUUUGAGUCCAUAGAAAAGCCAAUACUAUUAAAAAAGAGUGAGGUGUGAUGAUGAAUUGGUUGCUCAAGUGCUUAGAGAUAGCCACCAAAAAUACUGAGUCACUUUCCGACAAAAUAUAUAUGUCCUAAGCCACAUAAGCAAAAUCGAUGCCACCAACAUUUCCUACUCGUCCAUACCGAUUUUACACUUAGACAAAUUAUAUGCCAAACCCAUCAUCUCGGUACAACCAACAUUCCUAUCGGUGCCACCGAGAUUUGGUGACCAACAUUCUGUUGAGAUGAUUUCAAGUUUCGGAUUUUUUGAGUUUGAAUUUUGUCUCACCGAGUUUUGGAAACCAGUCUAGGUCAUCGUAUCGGUACCACCAAGAUUCUUAUAUCGGUCUCACCGAGAAUUCAAAAGUUGCCACAUUUAGUGCAACUUGGUACCACUGAGAUUCUUUUUGGUGUCACCGAGUUGGGCAAUACUGUUGUAACGGUUGGAUUUUGGGGGAUGCUUAUAUAUACCCCUCCACCUACCUCUCAUUCGUAGAGGAAGCACUCAGAACACACUUACACUUGUGAUAUCCAUUUUUCUGAGAGAGAGACACCUACUCAUGUGUUGAGAUCAAGAGAUUCCAAUCCAUUCAUUUGAACCUUGAUUUCUAGCCUUCCCAAGUUGCUUUCCACAAAAUCAAUCUCUCUUACCCAUGCCAAAUCUAUGAGAGAGUGAUUGAGUGUUGAGGAGACUAUCUUUUGAAGCACAAGAGCAAGGAGUUCAUCGUUCUACCACAUUGAUUACCUUUUGGAGGGUGGUGCCUCCUAGAUAGGUUAGGUGUCUCUUGGGAGCCUCUUACUUCGUAUUGUGGAGUUGAACCAAGAUGUUUGUAAAGGCAAGGAGAUCGCCUACUUCAUGAAGAUGUACCGUGAGUGAGGCUAGUCCUUCGUGGGCGGAAGCCGUGGUGGAAUAGACAAGGUCACUUCUUCGUGGACCCCUUGUGGGUGGAGCCCUCCGUGGACUCUCGCAGCCGUUACCCUCCAUGGGUUGUAGUCUCCACUAACAUGGACGUACGAUAACGCCACCUACCGGAACCAUGCUAAAAAUCUCCGUGUCAACCUUUGUGUUUGAUCUCCCUACCUCACCCUCUACUUUUUUUUGAUGGGAAACUGUAAGCAAAACCCCUCACAACGAGUUUUUUUUGAAAUAAUAAGAACUCAAAUUCGCGCCCGUGGGGACUUGAACGUGGGUGGCUGGGUUGUACAUCUACUCCACUAGACAAGUGAGCUAGGCUCACUUCCUUUACUCUUGCAUGUUUUACUUUCCGCUGCUAUACUCUUAGAUAUGCAUGUGUAGGGUUUACUUGACUAGUUAUAGUUGCUAAAACUGUCCCACACUUCAAAUUGGGAAACAACUAAGUUUUUAUCUUGUCAAGUAGUCUAAUCACCCCGCCUCUAGACAUACUUUCGAUCCUACAAUUUGGAAAAAUAACUAUAUAGGGGUACUGGGUUGGGAAUGAUUUGCAUGAGGAGAGUGGACAUGCAACUAUGUCGGACAUGAGCUGCAUGACUGAGUCGGGUGGGUUUACGUGUUGGGGUGGAAUGGAACUAGAUAGGGGCCGAGGCAAGUUGCGUGUUGAAAAACAAAACACAAGCUUACUUGUGCAUUAAGGGUGGACUUGCAAUUGGAAGAAGAGCUAGGUUGUGAGUGGAGGAUAGACUUACAUAUGGGACAACUACAAAUUGAGACCAAUUGCGUGUCAAUGGUUGACUUAAAACUGGGAUAAAACAAACUAUGGUUCAAGUUGCGAGUUAACGGUGGAUUUGCAACUAGGAUGAUGACAAAAAUAUAGGCUCACUUGCGAGUCAUUUGUGGGCUUGCAACUGGAAUAAAACAAACUAUGAGACUAGUUGCGAGUCGAUGUUGGACUUAUAACCGAGACAAGCAUAUAAACUAUGAUACGAGUUGAGAGUUGAGAGUAAACUUGCAAUUGAGAUGAAAAACAAAACACAUACCCAAUUGCGUGUCGAGGAUGGACUUGUAACUGAGAAAACAAAAAUAUGGGCCCGACUGCGAAUCGAGGAUGGACUUGCAACAGGGACAACAAAAAAACUAUGAUCCCACUUGUGAUUCGAGGACAAACUUGCAAUUGAGGCCCCUACAAGUACAAAGCCCUUAGUUACGAGUUGAGGUUGGAUUCGCAACUCGGGAAACUACAGGUACAGAAAGCCCAGUUGCGAGUCGAGGAUGGACUUGGAACCUUGAAAAUACGACUACAAAAAAGCCUCUGUUCCGAUUUGAGGGUGGACUUGCAACUGGGGCAACUACAUGUACAAAAAGGUCCCAGUUGUGAGUCGAGGGUAGAUUUUCAACUACGAUAACUACAGGUACAAACCUCGAGUUACGAGUCAACGGUGGACUUGCUACUAGGGUACCUAAAAUUACAACGCCUCGAGUUACGAGUCGGCGAUGGAGUUGAAGCUGGUGCACCUACAACUACAAAGCCUCGAGUUGCGAGUUGAGGAUGGACUUGCAACUAGAUUAACUACAAAGUACAAAAGAAAACCAGUUGUGAGUCAAGGGUUGACUUGCAACUAAGACAUCCACAGUUACACAAAAACCCCUAGUUGCAAAUCAAGGAUGGACUUGCAAGUGGAGCAACAAUAGGUACAAAGCCAGUUGUGAGUCGAUGGUAGACUUGCAACUUGGCCAACCACAACUACAAUACCUUCAAAAGAAGGGUGAAACUAUGAAAUUGGGAUGAAACCAACUAUGGGACCAGCUGCGUGUCGAGGGUGGACCUGGAACCGGGAUAAGAAAAAAAGUACAAGCUCAAGUUGUGAACCGAUGAUGGGGUUGAAACUCGAACAACUACAGGUUCAGUUACGAGUCGAUGAUGACUCCAAACUUGCACAACUACAAAACUAGGAGCCCAGUUGCGAGUCAUGGGUUGAUUUGCAACUAGGAUAAAACAAACUACUGGACCAGUUGCGAGUCAAGGGUGGACCUGCAACCGGCAUGAGAAACUAAACACAGUCUGAGUUGCGGCUCAAGGGUGGGCUUGAAACUGCUAUGAAACAAACUUCAUGCCUAGUUGCGAGGUCAGGAUGUACUUGUAACUGGGACAACUACAUGAAACUAAGAUAUGAGUUGCAAGUCGAGGGUGGACUUGCAACACGGACAAACUACACAAAACUACGAUACGAGUUGUAGUCGCGAGGGUGAACUUGUAACUGGGACAACUACAAAACUACGAGUCGAGUUGCAAUUCAAGUAUAUCAUUGCAAUUGGGAUGAAACAAACUACGGGCCUAAUUGCGAGUCAAGGGUGAACCUGUAACUGGGAUGAAAAACUACACAUAGACCGAGUUGCGAGUCAAGACUAGACUUGCAUCUAGGAUGAAAUAAACUACGGGCCUAGUUGUGAGUCAAGUGAGUACUUGCAACUCGGGAAAAUACACAAAACGACUACGAGUAGCGAUUCAACAGUUGACUUGCAACUCGGACAACUAAAUGAAACUACGAUAAGCGUUGCGAGUCCAGGGUAGACUUGCAGCUGGGACAACAAUAAGGCUAUGGGCUCAGUUGCGAUUCGAAGGCAAAUUUGCAAUUGGGACAACUACGAAACCAUGAGCCCAGUUGUGAGUCAAGGGUGAACUUGCAACCAGGAUGAAACAAACUACAUGCCUAGUUGCGAGGCAAGGGAGGACUUGCAACUCGGCAAGUACACAAAACUACCAUACUAUUUGGGAGUCAAGGAUGGACUUGCAACCGAAACAAUAACAAACUACGAGCCCAGUUACGAGUUGAAUGUGGACUUGCAACUAGGAUGAGAAAAACACAUAAUGAUUUAUGAGUUUAGGGUAAACUUGUAACUAGGAAAACUAAAAAUUCAUUUACGAGUUAAAGAUGGACUCUACAAAUUCUCGGUCAUGCCAAAAAAACACACAACGAAAAUGAACAAAAAAUAUAAAGGGAUCGCGCCUCCCAAGCAACGAUAAAAGUAACAUGAGAACAUGCGAGCAUAAAACAAAAUGGAACAAGAGGACGCGCGACAAGAGAGAAAGAGCUGACACGGACGCACAUGAUCGACUUUGUGCAAACAUCAAACAAAUCAGAUGAUUAUAACUUGAUAAGACAUCACUAAAUCUCAUCUAAAUAAGAUUUAGCAAAUCUAAAAAAUAUCUAGUUACACUCUCCUCUACUACACAGUCAAACUAAAAUAAACAUAUAACCCACAAAAAGCUAGUACACACAACGUAAAAGGGCACACUAAAAAAAGUCAUAUAUGACCUCACUGCUUAACGAGGAGCGAAUGAAAAACACGACACAUCAACAAUGAAAGUGAAUCAUAAGCAUAUGAAUCAGAUGAGACGUUGUUAACUCACAUUUACUCCCUCCGUACCUAAAUAUAAGUCUUUUAAUAUAUUUCAUUAGGUGUCUACAUACAAAGCAAAAUGAAUGAAUCUAUACUCUAAAACAUGUCUAUAUACAUUUGUAUGUAGUCCAUUAGUGCAACAUCUAGAAAGACUUAUAUUUAGGAACGGAGGGAGUAGAUGAGAAUUAGACGUGAGUUAACAAAAACAAUAAAAAAAGAAACCCCUGGAUCAUACCGUAGUGACCCACCAAAUGACGCACGUAGAAGUAGGUAAGUAAGUAAGUAUCUUGGAUUACCUGCGAUAGUGGGAGCAGAUAGGAGUGAAAGCUUUGAAUACUUUUGUGACAAAAUCAAGAAGCUUCUGAAGGGGUGGAUGGAAAAGCAACUGUCAACAGGAGGGAAAGAAAUCUUGUUAAAAGCAGUGGCUCAAUCCAUCCCUGUCUUCGCUAUGUCAGUUUUCUGUUUGCCUAAGGGAACUUGCAAGGAUAUCACGGAUGUAAUUGCUCAGUAUUGGUGGGGAGAUGAUGAAGAAAACAAAAAAAUGCACUGGUUCUCGUGGUGGAAACUAUGCAUCCGAAGUGUGAUGGUGGCAUGGGUUUCCGCGAUCUUCACUCUUUUAACUUGGCCCUUCUUGCGAAACAAUGUUGGAGAUUGAUCACAAGGUCGGAGUCCAUCUGUGCUCGCAUCUUGAAGGCAAAAUACUACCCAAAUACAGACUUGCUACACGCUGGACCAAAGAGCGGAUCUUCGUUCACAUGGCAAAGCUUGAUGGCGGGCUUGACUGCGUUUAAAAGAGGGUACAUUUGGCGAAUUGGUUCGAGGGAAAAUGUAAGUAUAUGGAAUGAUCCAUGGAUACCCUCAAGCCCGGACAGAAGGGUGAUAACUCCUCGGCGGCAGAUUCUGAUUUCGAGGGUGGUAGAGCUCAUUGAUCCAGUCACCGGCCAAUGGGAUGAACAAUUGAUACGAGACAUCUUUUACCCAGUCGAUGCAAACAGAAUCUUGCAGAUACCUUUAAAUUUUCAAGCAUUUGAUGACUUCAUUGCGUGGCACCUCACAAGGAAUGGUAUUUUCUCGGUGAGGAGUGCUUAUCAUGAACAAUGGUCACAUAAGCUCAGGGGUCAAUCCCUUGUGAAUUCAGUGUCCACCAGUACUAUGCAGGCAGCUAUUUGGAAGAAGCUCUGGGAGUUACAAGUGCCAUGGAAAAUACAGAUUUUCUUUUGGCGGGCGUUGCGUGGAAUUGUACCACUAAAAUCCAUUCUUGCUAAUAAGCACAUCCCUAUUGAUGGGGAGUGUCCGGUGUGCCAUAGGGGACCUGAAGACAUGCGGCAUAUGUUAUUCCAGUGUGAUUUGGCGAGAAGGUUGUGUGCUGGACUAGGGCUGAUUGAUCGUAUUGAACAAGCAGUUCAAGUGGAUCGCUCAGGGUCAGCCAUCUUAGAAUUUCUCCUACUAGAGCUGGACCAACCAAUGUCGAUCAUGUCAAGUAUUAAUGACAAAGAGGUAAUAGCGGCUGGCUGCUGGUAUCUCUGGUGGCUCCGCCGGCGACACACCCAUCAUGAUUCUUGCCCUCCAUCCUUCAGGUGGCAUACCUCAAUUCUAGCAAUAGUGGGAAAUUACAUAAAAUCUUUAUCAAAGAAGAGGGAACCGGUGGAACACAAGUGGAAGAGACCAGAGGCAAGAUUUAUAAAGCUAAAUGUGGAUGCUUCAUUCCAUUCAGAUGAAGGAUCGAGUUCUACUGCAGGUAUCUUACGAGAUGAAAAGGGUGGCUUUAUUGCAGGGUUUUGCAGAUUCAUUCCCUUUGCAGCUGACGUUGUCACGAUUGAAGCAAUGGCAAUGCGAGAUGGUUUACAUUUGGUGAACUCCUUGGGCUUUAACAGGGUAGAAGCGGAAUCAGAUUCUUUGAGCGUCAUCAAGUGUUGCCAAGGGCAAGAUCAGUGGUGGGAUGCAGCAGCGGCUGUCUUUGCUGAGUGCAUAGAUAUGGCUACAUCUAUAGGAAAGGUCAUCUUUUCUCAUUGUUUUCGUGAAGCUAAUUCAGUAGCUCAUGAGCUAGCAAAGUUUAGUUUCUGUAAUAAAGUUGAGCACAAUUGGACUAAUGAACCUCCUGAGUUCUUAGUUAGCCAAUUGAUGAAUGAUGUUUUGAUUAUUUGAGUUAAUAAAGCUAGCCAUGAUGGCCUUUCCUCAAAAGAAAAAAGGAAACGCAUGUACGCGACACUAGAUGCAGCAACAAAAUAAUCCAUGAUUAAGAUUUGAAAAAAUGUAAAACAAACAGAUGAGAGUAUGUUUUUCAUGAAUAUUAAAAAAAAUGGAAAACAAGAAAAUACAAAUAUAAAUAAAAGAAAACCAGGAAACUAAAAUACUUGAUAAUUUGAAACAAAUAAUAAAACAGAAAAAAGAAAAAGAAAAAGAAGAAACAACAAAAGUAAUGCGGCAGCCGAUAUAGGCUACAGCCCAUAUAACAAGAAGAACCUAUAGGUACGAGGGCAGCUACCUAACAUACCGUUGGCGAUCCUAAAAAAAGUGAUCCUCAAACGCAACAUUCGUUUCUUCAAAAACAGGGUUGGGGGGGGGGGGAUAACAUAGUGUAUGAAACAGAACUACUAGACGGAUGAAAAAAGCAAAUCAAUCCGUGGUUGGAUGAUUGGAGAGACAGUGAUAUCCCAGCACAUCAGGGUUUAAAUCCUGAUGCUACACUAUUUUUAAAUUUAUUUCAGGAUUUCCGACAAUAUGCUUUCAGUGGGAGGAGACAUUCCCGUCGAGGAUAAGAUGCCUACAGUGACUUUGUAAAUCUCAAGACGAUAUACUCGCUCAGUCUUUGAGAGAUGUUCAUAGGGAUAAGAUGUGUGUAUGUUCGGUUUAGGAGUUAAAUCUGAGAUAAGUAUUUUACAUCUAGAUGUGAAAUAGCAAUUUCAAAAAUUCAUAUGAAAAAUCUCUGAAUGAAAAAGACUCAUUAACUUAGAAACUCCAUGCAAAAAUACAAGGCUAACUUUUUUUCUCUUAAAUAAAAAAGAAAAAUAGAGAAAAAUGACGGAGGAUAACACUUGGCAGUGGGCGGGUGAAACACAUCACAAUUUUAUUUUCAAAUUGAUCUCUAACCAGGAAAAUACCCCGCGCAUACAACCAAGACCACGCACUCACCCCAUCGCAUGGCCUCCACACGCCUUGUCGAUAUCCAUGGUGGCAUCUAGCGCCGGCCGGGUGGCACGGAUCCCCCUUCACUCCCUCAGCGUGUGAACGUCGUCGCUCCAGCCCAACCGUUGCUCGUGUUCAGGAUAAGCUGCCCAGCUCGUCCGCCCUUCUUAUUGCCGCUGCUUCUCAGCUCACACGCUCCAACACUAUCCUCUCGUGUCUCGUCGAGCUAUCUGUCCACGGAGUAGUACCUUCCCGAGCUAGCUCGCAGCUCCGCCGCAAUGGCCACCGUGGUGAGCAGCCUCCGCUUGCCCUUCUCCGUCUGCGCCGCCGCCCCCUCGGCGCCCAUGGCAUCCCGCGUCGCGCUCCCGCUGUCGUCGACGGCUGCCAGGGGCAUGAGGCUCCGCGCGCAGGCGACGUACAAGGUGAAGCUGAUCACGCCGGAGGGCGAGGUGGACCUCGAGGUCCCCGACGACGUCUACAUCCUCGACCACGCCGAGGAGGAAGGGAUCGACCUGCCCUACUCCUGCCGCGCCGGCUCCUGCUCCUCCUGCGCCGGGAAGGUGGUCUCCGGCCAGCUGGACCAGUCCGACCAGAGCUUCCUCGACGACGACCAGAUCGAGGCGGGGUGGGUGCUCACCUGCGCCGCGUACCCCACCUCGGACCUCGUCAUCGAGACACACAAGGAGGAGGAGCUCACCGCUUGAAUUCACUGAUUUUGUGUAUUUCCAUCCGUUUCCGGCGUGCGCGUGUAUAUGCACGAUGCAUGAACUGUAUCAGGAUAUUGAGGAGUUACAGAGUAAUUAGUACUUGCUGCUGUGGUCGGAAUUUGAUUGCUUAUUAAUGCCUGUGUUAAUUUUCUCAAGUCGAACCAAAAGAGUGUGAUUGUUGGAUGGUAGGAGGGAUUGUGGUAUCUUCAGUCCAUCACAUCACAGUUCAAGUCUCUUCCAUUUAUUUGCCUACGGCGACUUUGUAAAUCACAAGAUGAUAUGUCAGCUCAGUGUGUGAGAAGUACUCAUAAAAUAGGGUGUGUGUACGUUGAUAAGGUGAGUGUAUCCCUGUGUAUAUGAACGUGUGCAUCUGUACUCUGUUCCGUGUUUACAAAAAUCAAGUUUUGAAAACAGAUGAAAUGUUAGCUUGCCUUGUGGUUUAUUUACGUUUUUAUUUUUUUUCGGGUAGUAGAAAGGUACUCCAUAAAAGAUCAUUCAAGUUAUAAUAAUUAUUCAAUACAAGAAUUGUUUCGAAUACAACAAUGAUACAAAUCACACGUGAAUUAAAUUAAAUGAUUGUAAAAAUGGCAAGUUUUAUUACUGCCCAUGCCUUUGCCAAUGAUGCUUAAUGAAAUCGUGCUGAAACUGCUGGUGGGUGUUUGAGUCUUCAAUUUCCUGUAUGUCUCAAGAAAUGCUUGUAUGUGGUCAAGGUCUUUAGAUGGCUUCACACAGCUAUCGACAUUGUCAUAAAAGAACUUCAAGUUCAUGUUCCUUUUGUUUUUGAUGAUCAUAUUACGAAGAAUCACACAACAUGUCAUGAUGUUCUUCACGGUCUACUUGUAAAAAAAACGAACAAGGCCAUGAACAAUGGCAAACCUAACUUUUAAAAUCCCAAACGAUCUUUCAAUAUCUUUUCGGGCAGCCUCUUAAACCUUUGCAAAUUCAGCUUGCUUCCUAGUUUUGGAUUUUCUGAUGGUCUUGACUAAUGUAGACUAAGAAAGGUAAAUGCCCUCGGCAAGAUAGUAGCCUUCUGUGUACUAAUGCCCAUUCACCGUGUAGUUACAAGCAGAAGCAUCACCCCUAGAAAGUCUAGCAAACAAAUAAGAAUGAUGCAACACGUUAAUGUCAUUGAGAGUACCCAACAAACCAGAGAAGCAAUGUCAAAUCCAUAAAUCCUUGGAUGGAACGGCUUAUAGCACAAUUUUUGCAUCACGAGACUUGCCAUAGUAUUGUCCGUGCCACUGAGGGAUCACUAGAAGGGAUGUCUAGAGAGGGGGGUGGGUGGGUGAAUAGACUACUUGACAAAUUAAAACCUAGCCUUUUUCCAAUUUUAAUUGUUGAAUUUUUUUAGCAAUUAAAGCAAGUCAUACACACCCUACACAUGCAAGUCUACGAGUAUAGCAGUGGAAAGUAAAGACAUGCACAUGUAAAGUAAGGAGUAGAGGUUAGGAAGAUCAAACGCAAAGUUGGACACGAUGAUUUUUGGCAUGGUUCCGAUAGGUGGUGCUAUCAUACAUCCACGUUGAUGGAGACUUCAACCCACAUAGGGUAACGACCGCGAGAGUCCAUGGAGGGCUCAAUUCACGAUGGGUCCACGGAGAAGCAACCUUGUCUAUUCCAUCAUGGCUUACGUUCACAAAGGACUAGCCUCACUCGGGGUAGAUCUUCAUGAAGUAGGCGAUCUCAUUGCUAGUACAAACUUCGUGGUUCAACUCCACAACACGAAGUAGGAGGCUCCCAAGCGACACCUAACCAAUCUAGGAGGCACCACCCUCCAAAAGGUAAUAGAUGUGGUAGAUCAAUGGACUCCUUGCUUGUGUGCUUCUAAAGAUAGUAUCCUCAACACAAAAUCACUCUCUCAUAGAAUAGGCAUGGGUAGGAGAGAUUGAUUUGGUGGAAAGGAGUUUGGGGAGGCUAGAGACCAGGUUUCAAAUGAUUGGAUUGGAAUUUCUUGGUCUCAACACAUGAGUAGGUGUCUCUCUCUCUCAGAAAAAUGGACAUGGAAAGUGUAUGUGUGUUCUGAGUGCUUCCUCUGCGAAUGAGAGAUGGCGGAUGUGUAUAUAUAGGCAUCUCCAAAAAUCCAACCGUUACAACAUUAUUGCCCAACUCGGUGGAACUGAAGUGAAACUCGGUGGCACCGUCUUGUACAAAAUGUGACAACUUUUGUCUUCUCGUGAGACCGACAUAGGAAUCUCGGUGGUACUGAUAUGUGCGACCUAGGGCAGUUUCCAAAUCUCGGUGAGACCGAUUCCAAAACUCACAAAUUCCAAUUCUUGAAAAUGGCAUACCAGAAACUUGGUCACUUAUUUCGGUGGCACUGAAAGGAAUGUUGGUGGUACCAAGAUUGCUAGGGUUUGGCAUAGGUUCUGUCUAGUGGAAAAUCGAUAUGGCUGAGUGGAAAAUCUUGGUGGCACUCACUUUGGAUAUUUAGGAUUUCGAUAGAGAAUUUUGUGGAAGUUUGGAUGAGUAUUUUUGGUGGUUAUCUCUAAGCACUUGAGCAACCAGAUCAUCAUAGAUACCUCAUCCCCUUUUGAUAGUAUUGGCUUUCCUAUGGACUCAACUAUGAUUUCUCACAAAAUAUAAAAUGUAGAGUCUUGAAGGUUGAAGCUUGGCCAAUCCUAUUCCUUUCCUUUCUUGGGGCUUCUCCUCACAAUCGUUAGCCAAUUCGCUGUGUGGACUAUAUCUAAAAUAUACCAGGUAAAAUUAUUAGUCCAAGAGACAAUGUAUGUUGUCAUGAAUUAUCAAAACCACGAAGGGAGCAUAUGUGCUUUCAAUCUCCCCCUUUUUGGUGAUUGAUGAUAACAUACAAUCGAAGCUUCAAAUAGAUAUAGGCAUAAGAAAAUGACAGCUUUGAAAUAUACAUGACUAAUACAAGCUCCCCCUAAAUGUGUGCAAUCCCUUGUAAGAGAUGUUUGUUUUGUACUGCAUGGGCACACACAUAGUAGAAGGGACAACACAAGUCAUGUGAAUCUUGGCUAUAUGCAUCAAACAAUAUGUGAAUGAAAGAGCUCCAUGUUCAAGACUCACUUGCAAACAAUAUGUGCAAGAGACAAGAGAUUAUCUUGAACAAGGAUAUGAUGCAUAUACUUACCUUGAGGUUCUUGAGCAUCUUAGCAGUAGGAGUACACUUGAGAAAACAAUUGUUAGAUAACACAAGAGUAUUCUAUAGUAAAUAUGCAAAGAGAUUAAAGAGUACCAAGACAUGGACGAUAUGAUUUGAAGAUAAAUAUGUCUCCGAGAAUAUUUAGAACUUUCUCCCCUAAGAAUGAAUAUGUAGGAUUUCCUCCCCCCUGAAUCAUAGCAUGUAGAUAUUGGGAGUAGGUAGGGUGGUUCAAUCCAAAGUAGGCAAUACAAAAUGCAAAUAAAACUUCCUCUCCCUUAGGGUAAGCAUAAGCUUAGAUAACUCUUUGAAUCUCUCCCGCUGAGGGAUUUCACCUCCAUUUUCAUCUCCCCCCCUUAAUGAUAUCUCUUCCCCUGUAUGUGUAAGAUUUGAUAUAUCUCCCCCUUUGGUAGAGACUUUUAGCAGCUUUGAUAUAUCUCCCCAUUUGGCAUUAAUUGCCAAAAAGGUCAGAGGGUAAGGGUUCCUUGAGAGUAUGUGAUCCUCAAUUCUUCUUCUUGAUAAGGGUUCCUUGAUUAUUCUUCCCCCUGAGUUUAGAUAAGGGUUCCUUGAAAUUUCUCCCCCUUUUUGUAUGGAUAAUGGUUCCUUGAAAUUUCUCCCCCUUUUAGUAGGGGUCCUAGAUAUUUCUCCCCUUAUACCAUGGGAUCAUUUGAAAUUUCUCCCACUAUGAAGUCCCCCCUUGACAAAUUGAGAGAUCAGUAGACUAUGCCACUUUGGCAUAAAUCCAGUAAAAUCACUAAGAACACAGGUAGCAUAAAUUUGGAGUCUCUGAGGCAAAGUGGAUUUGUAGAAAUGAGAGUGUAUAUUGAGCACGUGGGAGAAAUCAGUUGGACCAAUUUUCCCAACUCGGAGAGAGUGAGUUGCAACUAAAAAUUUGACUACUUGAGAAAAUGGGGUUACUUGGUAAACAAAAUUUCUUCUUGACCACUUUGUCAAUAAAAAUUCUCAGAUAUUUUUCCAAAGCUCUCAUAGAGUGUUCAAAUGAUUUUCAAGGAAUCUUCCAAAAGGAAUUUGCAUGGAAUUCUUACAUGGUUCGAACAAAGCAUGCAAAUGAGACUAUGAACCAUACAAGAAACUUGAUCUAGAUGUUGGGUGUUGACUAGCUCACCUAUAUUAGAGUAUAUUGACUUGAAGAGCCAAGCAAGAUUGCUUGAUCAUAUGUCAUACUCAUCGUUAAGCUCAAAAUGGGGUUGCCAUUUUGCGUUAAGCAUUUUAAUGUCUUCAUUCACUUGAGUUGCUUUACCUCAUGACUUGGUGUAAUGAUUUAUCAAGGAUAAGAGUACAUACCUUCGAAUGAUGUUGAUGACAUAGCAUGUAGGUUAAAUUGUUGUGGAUGCUCAAUGUUGAUGAAGAUCAUCUUGAGUUGAGAGCUAUCCUUGUUGUUUUCGUUCACUUUUCACCUACGGUUUUGUUGUCUUCUUUCUUCAUCUCCAAAGAAAGGGCUGUUGAUGCUUGGCCAUGACAAGAUUGAUUUUUAUGUGAGUUGAUGGCAAUCUUGUGGAGUGUAGUUCUUCCAAGUACCUACAAAUGGUUAGAUGCAAUACAAUGGACAUAGUUUUCCAAGCUAUAAGAUAGUGUCAUAUCAGUAGCAUCAUGGAAUAAUCAAGUAAGCUCAUGCCCUUGCAUGCAUCCAACUGAGUCUAGCUCAAGUUUGAAGCGUCAAUGAUGUUCAACUCACUCCUCAAGUGGGAAAACACUUUCUCAUCAAGUUGCUUGGUAAAGAUAUCAGCCAAUUGUUUGUCGGUACGAACAUGCUUGAGAUUAAUAUGUCCUUUACCAACAUCUUCAUGAAUGAAAUGAUGUCGAACUUGAAUAUGUUUAGUUCGAGAAUGUUGCUCGAGAUUAUGGGCAUUUUUAAUAGCACUUUCAUUAUCACAUAACAAUGGAACAUGUUUCACAUGAAUGUCAUAAUCCUUCAGAGUUUGCGUCAUCCAUAGUAAUUGCCACAACAUGAUACGAUGGCAAUGUAUUCUGCUUCGACGGUAGAGAGAGAUACCGAGUUUUGUUUCUUGGAUGACCAAGACACAACAGAUCUCCCAAGAAUUUGACAUGUACCCGAGGUUGAUUUUCUAUCAACCUUGUCUCUUGGCAUAGUCCGAGUCGGAAUAGCCAACAAGAUUAAAAGAAGACCCCUUGGGAUACCAUAUACCCAUAUACCAUAUUAUUUUCAUAGCCUCUAGAUGACACUCCUUAGGUACCGCUUGAUAUCGGUCACACAUGCAAACACUCAACAUGAUGUCGGGAUCGGAGGCACAUAGAUAUAGAAAUGUACCGAUCAUUGAUCGAUAAACCUUUUGAUCAACCAGUUUGUCCUCCUUGGUGAGGUCAACAUGUCCACUAGUAGGCAUGGGAGUUUUCAUACCUUUGCACUCUUGCAUGUUGAACUUCUUGAUCAAGUCCUUGGUGUACUUGGUUUGAGAGAUAAACGUACCUUCUCUCGUUUGUUUAAUUUGCAAACCAAGUAAGAAUUUAAGCUCACGCUUCAUGGACAUCUCAUACUUCUCGGACAUCAACCUUCCAAAAUUCUCACGAAAAUGUGUGUUAGUAGAUCCAAAGAUAGUAUCAUCCACAUAAAUUUGGCACACAAAUAGUUCACCGUUAACUCUUUCAGUGAAUAAGGUUGCGUCAGUUUUACCAAUCUCAAAACCCUUUUCAAUGAGAAACUUUGUUAGGUAUUUGUACCAAGCUCGAGGGCUUGUAUAAGACCAUAUAAAGCUUUACGAAGUUUAUAAACAUGAUUAGGUUUCUUAGGGUUCACAAAGCGGGGAGGUUGUUUGACAUAAACUUCCUCCUCAAUUUAACCAUUUAUAAAAGCACUUUCGAUAUCCUUUUGGUAAAGAGUAAUAUCAUGGUGAUUGGCAUAAGCGAGAAGAAUACGAAUGGCUUCAAGUCUAGCAAUGGGGGCAUAGGUCUCACCGUAGUCCAUACCUUCGACUUGCAUGUAACCUUGAGCUACGAGACGUGCCUUGUUGCGGAUCACUUGGCCAUCUUCAUCUUGCUUGUUCCGAAACACCCAUUUGUACCAAUGAUGUUGUGCUUGUCCUUGUGUUUCUCCACGAGUGUCCAAACUUCAUUUCGCUCAAAGUUGUGUAGCUCUUAGUGCAUCGCAUUCACCCAAUCUGGGUUAUGAAGUGCUUCUUCUACCUUCAUAGGCUCAAUGCUAGAGAUAAAGGAGUAAUGCUCACAAAAAUUAGCUAAAUGAAUUUUUGAGCGAGUGAUUCUCCCAGUUUGUAUGUCACCAAAGAUUUUAUUUAGCGGAUGAUUCUUGUCCAUGUGUGCUCGAACUCAUGAUAGCUUUUUCUUAUUGGAUGCUGGAGCUUCCUCAUCAUUAUCUACUUCUUCGUUGUCGUUGAAGGUGUCAUAUCCUUGAGGUGGUGAUGAAGAAGGUUGAGGUGGAUCAUCACAUUGUACUUCUCCCUCUUCUUCAUGUCGUAUACCACUUGUGGAUGCCUGCAUGUCGUUUUGUGGUUCGCCUUGACGUGAAGUAGGAGCUUGCACUUGUGUUGAUGAAAUACUUUCCUUCACCUCCAUGGGAGAAAUCUUGCCGAUGGACAAGUAUUGGAUGGCUUUUGAAGGUUGCUUAUCUCCUAAAUCAUUUGGCAAUUGUUUUACUUGUGAACCAUUAGAUUCAUCAAACUUCACAUCUACCGUCUCUUCAACUUUUCGAGUGAAAUUGUUGUUCAUACGGUAAGUGUGAGAGUUUGAUCCGUAACCAAGUACGAAACCUUCAUGAGAUUUAGGUGAAAAUUUAGAGUGACGAUGCUUAUGAAGAAUGCAACACUUUGAGACGAAUACCUGAAUGUAUCUAACUUGGGGUUUGUUACCGAUGAGUAGCUCGUAUGUCGUUUUACCGAUUAGCUUGUAUAGGUAGAGUCGGUUUGUGGCAUGUCAAGCUAUUUCCACGGCUUCUGCCCAAAAGUAUCUUGGCAUCUUGUAUUCGCCAACAUCGUUCCAUCCUUCUCUAUGAGAUCCGGUUCUUCCUAUCAACAACUCCAUUUUGUUGAGGUGUGUAUGUCACAGAGAAAUCAUGUGAAAUACUGUUGGGGAAAGUCGCAUGGGAAACAAAAAUUUCCUACGCUCUCCAAGAUCAAUCUAUGGAUAUCAAUAGCUAUGAGAAGGGAAGUGCAUCUACAUACCCUUGUAGAUCGCUAAGCGGAAGCAUUGAGAAACGCGGUUGAUGUAGUCGAACGUCUUCGCGAUCCAAUCACGAUUUGUCCCACGAUCCAAUCAUGAACGUCUUGAUCAAAUGCAGAACGGACGACACCUUCGUGUUCAGCACACAUACAACUCGAUGAUGCCAUCACCACCUCGAUCCAACGAGUGAAGGUGAAGUAGUAGCUGAGUUCUCUGGCAGCAUGACAGCGUGUUGGCGGUGGUGGUGGAGCGAUCUCAGCAGGGCUUCGCCAAGCACUACCACAAUUGUGACUGUGGAGAAAUACUACGAGAGAGAGAGAGAGAGAGGAGGGCUGCGCCGUGGCUUUCAGGUGCGGCGGCACUCCCUCUCCUAUAGUAUAUAUAGUGGGAGGGGAGGAGGAGGCCAACGCCCUAGGGUUUCCCUAGGGUUGGAUGGCGGCCACCAAAAGGUGGCUUGGCCCCCAAGGAAGGAGGGGCGAUAGCCACCUCCGGGCCAGCCCUCUUAUUUGGCCACAUGUGCCUUAGGUGAGAGGGACGGAGAUCCCACUAGGGGCUUGUGCACCACCUCUCACAGCCCAUGGGGCCCUCCGGGGCAAGUGGACCCUUCUCGUGGACCCUCGUAACUCUUUCGGAACCUCCGUCACAAAACCGGUAACCUUCCGAAACUCUUCCGGAACUCGAAUAUCAACUUCCCAUAUAUGAAUCUUUACCUCUAGACCAUUACGAAGCUGCUCCUCAUGUAUGAGAUCUCAUCCAAGACUCCAAAAAACCUUCGGUCACCAACACAAUAACUCAACUAUAUCUAUAUCAUCACCGAACGUUAAGUGUGCAGAUCCUGCGGGUUCGAGAACUAUCCAGACAUGCCCGACACAUCUCUAUGGUCAAUAAACAAUAGAGGGACCUAGAUGCCCAUAUUGGUUCCUACAUAUUCUACAAAGAUAUUUGUCGGUCGAACCAUGAUGUCAAGGAUUCGGCUAAUCCCGUAUGCAGUUCCCUUUGUACAUCUGUAUGUUACUUGCCCGAGAUUCAAUCAUUCGUAUAUCCAUACCUAGGUCAAUCUCGUUACCAGCAAGUCUCUUUGGUCGGUAUGUAAUACAAGAUCCCAUGACUAAAUCCUUAGUCACAUUUAUUGCAAGCUUACUGUGAUGUUGUAUUACUUAGUGGGCCCCGAGACACCUCUCUGUCACGUAGAUUGAAAAAUCCCAGUCUUGAUCCAUGGCAACUCAACAGACACCCUCGGAGAUACCUGUAGAGCCUCUUUGUAAUCACUGACGUUUGAUAAACACAAGUCAUUCCUAAAGUGUGAGGGAGUUGCAUGAUCUCAUGGUCAUAGGAGCAGACACAUUGACAUGCAGAAAGCAAUAGCAGUAAACUUGACAUGAUCAAAUGCUAUGCUUACGGUUUGGGUCUUGUCCAUCACAUCAUUCUCCUAAUGAUGUGUUCCUAUUAUCAAAUGACAACUCAUGUCUAUGGCUAGGAAACCAUAGCCAUCUUUGAUCAAUGAGCUAGUCCACUAGAGGCUUACUAGGGACACUUUGUUGUUUAUGUAUCCACACAUGUAUUUGAGUUUCUGAUCAAUAUAAUUAUAGCAUGGAUAAUAAACAAUUAUCAUGAACAAGGAUAUAUAACAAUAACCACUUUAUUAUUGCCUCUCGGACAUAUUUCCAAUAGUCUGCCAGUUGCACUACAGUCAAUAAUCUAGUAUUACAAGGUAAUGAAUCUAACACCCAUAGAGUUUUGGUGUUGAUUAUGUUUUUCUCGUGGAAGAGGUUUAGUCAAUUGAUCUGCAACAUUCAGAUCCGUAUGCACUUUGCAAAUUUUUAUGUCCUCCUUGAGGGAGUUUUGGAUUAAGGGGUCCUUGGGUGGUCGGGUUAUCCUUUAUGGCCGACCAUGUGGGUUGCAUCGUUGAAGACCGGAUUGUCUGACCACUUCGUAAUCAAGAUGGAAGCUCCAAAGACUAGGCGUGCACUCCAAGUCAAGAGGACCAGUUCGGCCCAUCUAUCCCUAACUAAGGUCAGUAACAUGUAACCCUAGGAAUCGUGGUGUAUAUGCUGAGAGGCAGGUCAUCUCAUCUAGAGUUUUAGCUCAUACGAUCUCGAGGUAGAUCAACUCUGUAACCAUCGUUCCCCAUCUAUAUAAUCAAGCAGGAUGUAGGGUUUUACCUCCUCAAGAGGGCCCGAACCUGGGUAAAUACUGUCUUCCCCACUCUCCUGCAACCCAUUUAUCCUAGGUCUGCUGUUCGGGACCCCUACCUGAGAUCUACCGAUUUUAACACAGAGAUUGGUGCUUUCAUUGGGAGUUUUGCCAUUGGAUCGCUCGAACGGUCGAUGGAUCACUUUAUCAUCAGUGAUCGAAUCUGCAAUGGGGGCUUCUUCUCCCUGGAAAGGUCCCCAUGCGCGGAAGCAUCACGCUGCACGUGGACUCAACCGGCCUUCCGAGCCAGACUGGAGGUUUCGUCCGCGAUCAACAAACAAGGUUCAGAUACUUUGAAUUCUCCGCCGACUCGCGGGGCAAUCUGUCCCCCGCCGAAGUCACGACCUCGACCAAUGAAAGUCAAAACCCUGAAGCCUUGACUCCGGGUCCCUCGUAUGGCUAUGGCCGCGGUCCCCUCCUCGUCGAAGAGUUAGCCUUGAGCUCAGACCCGACCAUUCUGUCCGGACAACAAGAAACAACCAUUGCCGAACUAUCAUCCAUUGCGGAAGUCACAAAGGUCAACUCCAAGAAUCUAAAAAAAAAAUCGUUGAGGACAACAUCUCGAUGUUAAGCAAGAUGCUCGAUCAGAUCGAGUCACUCCAAAUCUGACUUAACUGAAGCCCGACCUAUUCGAAGAUCGGCUCCGAGGUGGAUUACGAGGACUUUUCCGACCCACGCACCACGCUCUUGAUCGCCGCUGUCGAAGACUGAACCGACGCAUUGGACUAUGCCUGCGAAGAGCUCGAGGACAUGGACGAUGAGCCUACUAGACCACCCUCGUAGACACAGGGUGGUGGAUCAGAACGUCUACCUUAGAUGUUUACAUGGUAGACACGACCCGUGACACGGGCGAUGUCACACCCAAGCAAAACGGCGAUAAGCCUGUGGAGGAGCCCUCAAAGUGCCGAAAGCACGUAAGCGUGCCGAGGAAAAUAAGGGAAGGGGCUCUGCACAAGCAACAAGGGAAAACAUGACCCCAGAAGACCAUGACAACCCCGAAGCUCCCUAACAACAACCAGAGGAACCGGAAAGCACCGACCCCGACGACCUCAAAAAUUCGGAUGACGACUAGCUCCCCUAGUCGACGACGAAGAUGGCCUUGAAGCUGAAGACUUCGUAAUCCCCGAAGAACCCAAAGGCCAGGAGAAAUUCUCAUAGAGGCUUAUAGCUACCAUUCAGAGAUUAAAAGCAAAGCAACGACAACUCCAGGACGAACAACACACCAUCAAAAACAGGUUGACCAAAAUCUUGGUGAUUGAAGAGGGGUACGACAUGGAGUGGCCGGACCAAAAGAAAACCUACCCAGGCCGAUGCCUGCUCCCCCAUUUCGACGACGAGGCCCCAGAACACGUGUCCCCACGACACACGGACUACGACCAACCUGAUCGCCCACCCCAAGGGCGUGACAGAGCGACCGAAGAGAAUGAGUAUAGACCUGAGCCUCCUCGCAAAAAAGGCAAAGACUAUGCACACCCUGGGAUAGACCUGACCCACAAUCCGUUAGAUCAGGCCGCAAAAGAUCCAUCUACGGAUCCAGGAGGUACUCCCCCACUCGAUGGGAUGACGAACCACCUCGGGUCCCUUACAAAAGCAGAGGCGAGGAACCGUACGCGGUUCAACCCGGCGACGAUCUCCGGCACAGCAUAGCCCGGAUCAGAGGUGCUGCUCACCCAUUGUGUUUCAUAGAUGAGGUCAUGCAGCACAAGUUCCCUGAAGGGUUUAAACCCGUAAAUAUUGAAUAAUAUAACGGGACAACAGACCCCGCCGUGUGGAUAGAAGAUUUCCUUCUCCACAUCCAUAUGGAGCGAGGAGACGAUCUCCACGCCAUAAAAUACUUGCCCUUAAAACUCAAAGGACUGACACGGCACUAGCUAAACAACCUACCUAAAGACUCCAUUGGAAGUUGGGAAGACCUCGAGGAGGCUUUCUUAUCUAACUUUGAGGUAACAUAUGUUUGGCCACCGGAUUCAUCCGGCCUAAGCAAUUUUCCAAAAGGCGGGUGAAUCGGCUAGAGAAUUCUCGAACCGGUUCCUCACCAAGAAGAAUCAAAUCAUGGACUGUUUGGAUGCCGAAGCAAUAGCCUCUUUUAGGCACAACAUCCGGGACGAAUGGCUGGCCAUUUAGCUCGGCCAAGACAAGCCAAGAAUAAUGUCCGCUCUUACUUCCCUCAUGACCCGCUUUUGGGAAGGCGAAGAUAAUUGGCUAGCUCGGCGCACCCACAAUACGGCCGACCCGAAACCUCUGAGUUUCGAGAUGGAAACGCAUGACAAAGAAAAAGCAAGAAUAAACGCCGCCACCAUAAUGGUGUUGCCAACGACACAAUAGUAAACGUUGGAUUCCGCAGUUCAAAACCUGGAACGCAGAAGAAACCCUUCAAAGGGAACAGGAACGGACCCACCCCAUGGGAUAAAAUCAUGGAACGGCCCUCCGAGAUCCAUGGCAACAAAGAGAAGUCUGCCACCCACACCAACCGUAAUUGUUAGGUGUUCAAACAGGCCGACAAGCUAGCUGCCGAUGUACAGAACAGGGGCCCAGAAAGUGAAGACGAUGAGGAGCCCCGCGGCCCGAACAAUGGGGGCCAAAAAUAGUCCCCUCCCGAGGUCAAAACCAUGAACAUGAUCUAUGUCACCCAUAUAUCCAAAAAGGAGAGGAAGCGGGCCCUUCGGGAGGUAUACAUCGUAGAGCCCAUAGCACCAAAAUAUAAUCCAUGGCAGGCGUGCCCGAUCACGGUCGACUACAGGGAUCAUCCGACCAGUACCCGUCAUGGAGGGUCAUCCGCCCUCGUCCUAUAUCCCAUUGUAAAUUGAUACCAACUCAUUAGAGUACUCAUGGAUGGAGGAAGUAGCCUUAAUCUGAUUUAUUCAGAUACGGUGAAAAAGAUGGGCAUAGACCCAUCAUGAAUCAAACCUAGUCGCACUACCUUUACAGGAGUGAUUCCAAGCGUCGAAGCCCGUGAUACGUCCAUUUUGCAUCAUGUUUUCAUGUUGAUAUUUAUCGCUACUUUGGCUGUUAUUUCACUUCACGGAACAAUUCUUAUGACUUUUCUCUCUUAUUUUGCAAGGUUUACAUGAAGAGGGAGAAUGUCGGCAACUGGAAUUCUGGCUUGAAAGUGGAGCAAAGUUGAGAUACCUAUUCUGCGCAACUCCAAACGCCGUAAAACUCAAUGAGGAUUUUUUUUUCCGGAUUUAUCAAAAAUACUAGGCCGAAGAAGUGCCAGAGGGGCGCCAGGGGUUGGCUACAAGCCUGCACGGCACGGCCACCCCCCAGGCCGCGCCAUGAGGGCUUGUGGGCAACCUGCUGGCCCACUUGCCCCCUCUUUUGCUAAUGAAGGGUUUCGUCCAGGAAAAAAACAAGGAGGAGCUUUUUCGUGGUUUCGCCGCCGCCACGAGGCGGAACUUGAGCAGAACCAAUCUAGAGCUCCGGCAGGACGAUUCUGCCGGGGAAACUUCCCUCUCGGAGGGGGAAAUCGUCGCCAUCGUCAUCACCAACACUCCUCUCAUCGGAGGGGACUUGUCACCAUCAACAUCUUCAUCAGCACCAUCUCAUCUCCAAACCCUAGUUCAUAUCUUGUAACCAAUCUCCGUCUCCCGACUCCGAUUGGUACUUGUAAGGUUGCUAGUAGUGUUGAUUACUCUUUGUAGUUGAUGCUAGUUGGAUUAUUUGGUGGAAGAGUUUAUGUUCAGAUCCUUGAUGCUACUCAUUACCUCUCUGGUCAUGAAUAUGAUUAUGCUUUGUGAGUAGUUACUUUUGUUCCUGAGGACAUGAGAUAAGUCAUGCUAAUAGUAGUCAUGUGAAUUUGGUAUUCGUUCGGUAAAUUGAUAUGUUGUAUGUUGUUUUUCCUCUAGUGGUGUUAUGUCAACGUCGACUACAUAACACUUCACCAUUAUUUUGGCCUAGAGGAAGGCAUUGGGAAGUAGUAAGUAGAUGAUGGGUUGUUAGAGUGACAGAAGCUUAAACCCUAGUUUAUGCGUUACUUCGUAAGGGGCUGAUGUGGAUCCACUAGUUUAAUGCUCUGGUUAGACUUUGUCUUAAUUCUUCUUUCGUAGUUGCGGAUGCUUGCGAGAGGGGUUAAUCAUAAGUGGGAUGCUUGUCCAAGUAAGGGCAGUACCCAAGCGCCGGUCCACCCACAUAUCAAACUAUCAAAGUAACAAACGCGAAUCAUAUGAACGUGAUGAAACUAGCAUGACAGAAAUUCCCGUGUGUCCUCGGGAGUGUUUUUCCUCCUAUAAGACUUUGUCCAGGAUUGUCCCUUGCUACAAAAGGGAUUGGGCCACUUUGCUGCACCUUGCUAUUUUUGUUACUUGUUGCUUUCUACGAAUCAUGUCACCACACAAUUACUUGUUACCGACAAUUUCAUUGCCUGCAGAUUUUACCUUGCUGAAAACCACUUGUCAGAUCCUUGUGCUCCUCGUUGGGUUCGACACUCUUACUUAUAGAAAGGACUACGAUUGAUCCCCUAUACUUGUGGGUCAUCAACCCGCUGCUCGGGUACGAUAACACUAGAGGUUGUGUUUGGCUCGCCCGAGAACUUCCGCAUCAAAGACUUGAUCUCCGACAUCGUCCCCUUUCAUAGCGGAUACCACACACUGCUCGACUGCAUAGCUUUCGCCCGCUUCAACGUUGUGCCCCACUACGCCUACAUGAAACUCAAAAUUCCCGGACCCAAGGGAGUCAUCACUAUCAACGGCAAUACAGAGCGUUACCUCCGGACCAAGGAGCACACGGCUGCACUCACAGUUGAGUGCCAACAUGACAACGAAACAUCAAGCCACAAGUCAGCAAUAAAGGCAAAGAAGGAAGGCAAGCGAGCCCGAGCUCAAUCAGAUCUGUCAAAGACCUGUUCGGCUCAGAGUAAAUAGGGAUAUGCCUCCCAUGACAUGGUCCGAACACCUUCAAGGUAUGUCCCUCGCAGACACAAUUUCAUCCUUAAAAUUCCAUGGACAACCAUGGGAGUCACCCGCCAGGAAUCAUGUGAUCGGUUCAACCGAGCCAUGGUCCAAAACACCCCUAUGGAUAAAGGUAGGGUAUCAUGAAGAACCCCAAGCAUCAAGCUUCUCCGGUUUAUCAGCACCUUCUCAAGACCCUCUACUCGAGGUCAGCAUGCUGACAACAACUUCCUGCAAAGGAUAGUACCCCCAGCCCUAACAAGGGUAAUAGAUAUAGUACAACCGAAAAUAGGGCGAACGUCAAGGCGCCCAUGGAAGGCCGCUGUGAAAAAGGUGCUUUAAAAACUUGUAUCGAUAGUUACCUAUAACAGCUGCCUUGGUGCCACAAGUUAUAAAAAUUCACCACACACAUUAUUUCAAGUUUUUUUGUAUGCUCAUAUUUCAUACUUAUCGGCGCUGACAUGUCAAAAUUACUUUUUACACAUGCUAAAGUGCUAUCGGCCAAUAGAAUGGAGGCUUGGAUGGCAACACUACAUCUGAAGUGUCCAGUUUCUCGGGUUUUGCUUUAUAUGCAUCGGUUCUGAAUUGUGUCAUGGGUCUAUAGUUGUGUUGCCCUGUUCCUGUGCUUACCUCAUUACGCUCUGCUAGUUCGGCUAAGGGGUAAAGGGAGAACCAUUGCGAUUGUAUUAUGAGGUAUUAUGGCUAAUAAUACCUAAGUGGAGAAAGCCAAAAACUAACUACCAUUAUAAGCGAGAACUGCUCUGCAAUCUAAGCUAAAAAAAGCCAUUGGAGGUUAUUCCUUAUUACACGGAGGGUUCACACCUUUGCAGACCCUAUGGUAGCUAUUUUGAAAUUCGGCUUAUCCGACAACCACCAAAAACCUGGGGGCUUUCGAUCAGCCCCCAAAUUUAAACUCCUAAGGCUAAGUGAAAGAGAUAAAGCCGCCUGUCUGAUUGCCACGUUUCCGUCGCAAACUACCACCUUUGGGCACCGACUCAUCAAAUAAGGGUAAUAGUAUGGACGAUGAUACACCAUGUGUAGUCUCUACGUGGGGGCUAAAGUGGACGACUGGUAACAUUCAGAUUAAAACGACCAAACGACAAGAGUCAAAAUAAUACACAAGCACAAAUACUAAGCAUUAUAAAUAUUUUUUUUGGAAGCACAUGAUAGUACAGUCACUCAAAGAGCACGUCUUUCGAGCAUUGGGCUUCUAUAACCCGAGCACCCUCCGCCAUGGAGGGAAAAUACAACUCGGGGCGUCUGUGCCCCUUCUCGACAGGUGGAGGUGCGGUGGCCAUCGUCAGGGGCUUCAUCCCCGGAUAAUGCACCAGGAUCCUUGCAAAGGCCACCUGAGCUCCUUCUGUGCAGACGGAACACUUCAGGACAUCGAUCCGGGGAACGACAUCAACCAACUUAUGCACUAAGCCGAAGUAGCUGCCCGACAGAGGCUCGGUAGGCCACAGUUGGAUACAGAGAUCCUUCAUGGCCAGCUCCGCCAUCCUAUGCAGCUCCAUGAGCUGUUUCAUUUGAUAGAUCAGACUAGGGUUGGGCUCAAGAGUAUGAAACUAAGCCCAGAAAAGCCUCCGCUCAACAUCCCCGUCAUGGGCCAAGUAUUAUUGGGUUGCUUCCACCACACUCCGUGGGAGGUCCAUGAAGGUGCCCAAGGAACGCCAUAUCCGCAUAAGAAAUGCAUACCUAUUUCCACCAAAGGCACAUUGCAAUAACUAUGGCUUACCAUUUGCCAUCAACUUGGCCUGGCAUACUUCUUCUUCAAAGAACCUCCGGUCCACCCGCUCUGCUUUGAGCUCGGCGGAUAGCUUGCAGAGCUCAGUUAUCUAAUCCCGAGAUUUCUUCUCCAAAGUCUCACACUUGGCCUCAUGGUUGGUGUUAUCAACCUUAGGGAGCUCAGCUCGACAACUACUUGUUCGGCCACCACUUUGUGAGCAACGACCUCCUUCUUGGCCUGCUCCAGUUCGGCCUUGAGUUUUUCGAACUCUUUGUCCUGGGCUGCUGACCAAAUUGAUAUCACAGGGUUAGAUGUUAAAAAAACAGGACAAUCCUUCUCUAUUAAAGGGCAAUAAUAAAUUUUACAGCACUUCUUGAAACUUACCCUGCUUUUUAUCAAGCUGGACAUUCACACGGCUAAGCUCAUCGUUGGAAACCUUCAGUUUCCGGUUCAGCUUGGCUAUAUCCAGUGAUUUGCCGUCAUCAACAAAGGAAGAAGCAUGCACGACAUAAUUAUGAAUUUUAACGGCUCUGAGUUAUCGGCAUGUAGGACACUUUGGUCGAAAUUACUCCAGCAAGUCGUUAGAAUUGAAAAAUCUCAGGAUUGUUUUAUGCCUAAGAGUUAAUUUUGAGCCACGGAUAAGCUUGUCAAACUUACCCGUGGCUCGGGGGCUGUUAUACCCAUAAAGGCAUAAAAAAUCUUAUAAAUAAGACUUAAAAAAUUACACGACUUACCUUAAAACCCGCCAACAAUCCAUUGAAGGCUUCGCUCAGUUUGCUAUUAACGGACUGAAUACUCUACAAUACCGCACCUAUAAGGGUGCGAUGUUCUUCGACAAUGAAGGAGCUGGUCAAGGUGCCCUCCAUCAUGGCCGACCAUCCAACCGUAGUCUGCUCUGCUAGGGAUGGCCGUGGAGGUGGCACCGAAGACACUGGAGCGUCGGGGCUCCUGGAAGCUUUCUCCGGGCAAAGCUCAGAGGGAAUUUGGUUCCCUUCUUCACUUGGGGAGAGGGAACAAACCCCCUAUUUCCCAAUGACCGAGGUAUGGACCUCGGCUAGAAUCUCCUGUUCUUCGGUGGCUGGUUUAUCAACACCAGCCGGGACCUCCGGGUCUUCGAAGGCUGGUGUAUCAACUUCGGCCGCGAGCUCCCCGUCCUUGGGGUCUGAUGUACCCACCUUGGCCAUCACCACCUUGGUAGUGGUCGACGGGGCCUGAUGGGCAUUACCUCAGCCGGCUCAUCCGAGGCCCGGGGAGGGGUAUUGUCGUGUGCGUUCCCACUCUCCGAUAGCUCGGCGGGCAACGAGCCUUCCUUUGAAAUGUGGUCUGUUGGAAGAUCUCAGACAGGGUUGUGACACGAAACAACUCGUUUCUCAUUAUUGAUAAAGACCCUGUGUAAUCCCGUUAAAGUAAGAAUUGGAUUUCGUACCUUCGGACCGAGGGCUUAACCCUAGGGGUUCGGCAAAGAAUCACCUCUAAGGCUCUGAUCUCGUCAUCGGAGUCGGGCCAGUGCCGAGAAGGGUGACCUUGUCUUACAAGGUCUUUUCGGAGCCCGACGAGGUAGCCCCUGCUCGACCCCCUCUGGCGCCUCCCUCUUCCUCGUCUUCUACAUCCCCCCCCUUGUGGGUGGAGGAGGCAUGGGUGUCCCCGAACUUGGUAUCCGACGGACCCCUCGAAUGGAGACCCCCGCGGGUAUCCUUCUUCUUAUUUUCUAGCGCCAUGUAUGGCGCCUCCACCAGCAUCAGAUCUAGCAGAGGAGAUCGAGGCUCCUCGGGUAGGGGAGCUAGACCGUCUAUUUUCUCGGCUAGGGCCAGCCAAUCCUGCAAGGAAGAAGUGAUAGUAAGGCCUUCAAUAAAACAAGAACCUAGAGUACGAAUAGGAGCUCGGACGUACCUCCAAAGGGGGAGUCUCCACAUCCAAGCCGAUGUCUUCGUCCUCGACCGGCCACUCAUGCCGCGGCUUGAGCAGUAUCCACCACAAGUUCUCAUGGGUGGUGCGGUAGAACUCAUGCACCACCCAGGGGUCGCUGGGGUUGUAAGACCACAUCGUGUUUUCCCAGUGCUGGCAUGGAAGGAUGUAUCGAUGGAGCAUGACCUCGACUACGUCGGUCGGCUGGAUGUUUGUCGCCACCAUCUGCUUGAUGCGUUUUUGCAGCAACUUCACAUUCAAAGCCGAGCCCUAGUCUAGGCCCUUCUUAACCCAUGAGGUUAGCCUCACCGAGGGUCCAGAUCUGAACUUGUUCGGCAUUGCCCAAUUUGCUUCCCGUGGCUCUGUGAUGUAGAACCACUCAUUCUUCCAGCCCUUGAUGGUGUCGAUCAGGGUGCCCUCCGGCUAUGGCACGCAGAAAAUCUUUCUUAUCACAGCCCCGCCACAGUUGGCAUGAUGGCUGCUGACCGACUUUGUCUUAACAUUGAAGACUUUGAGCCAAAGGCUAAAGUGCGCAUGAACCCGCAGGAAGGCCUCGCAAACAGUGAUGAAGGUGGAGACGUGCAUAAUUGAGUUCGGGGGGAAGAUCGUGGAAAUCUAAUACAUAAUAAAACAUCAAAACCCCGACAAAGGGGUGAAGCGAGAAGCCUAGCCCCGGAGGAAGUGGGAGACGAACACCACCCGCUCAUCGGGCCUUGGUGUAGGUACUACCUGGCCCUUCUUCGGUGCUCGGUGGGCGAUGUUAGCCGCAAAGAUAGCCACAACGCUUCAACUCCUGGAUGUCCCCGUCAGAGACGCAGGAGAUCUCCCACUUGCCCUCAGAGUCUGAGCCGACCAUAGCUGGGCUUGGGAAGGAGGAUGGUUGGAAAGGGUGGGAGAUGGAAUGGAUCUCGGCGCUCGAGCUUGGAAGGAGAGGGAGUUGAGUUUGGAAUGCUUGUGGUGGGUUUUGGAUAUUUUUCCCUUUUUAAAGGGAGGUCGUAAAACCAAGGGUUUCCACUUACUAUGCCACCAGCUCUGCCACUUCCCCAAAAGAGCGCGUCAUUGAACGUGCGUAGGUUGUCUCGGGUCAUUAAUUCGAAACCCCUUGAAUGCGGGACACAAUCUUUUUGGUUGACAGAACAUGUCUCGGGGAAAGUGGCCUCGAGCCGCGAUUAGAGGUUUUCUCAUUAUUUAUUAUCACGAUUUUUCGUCAGAAGAGUUGUCAGAUAAAGGACUGUUCACCUCCGGGACUUUAAAACCUUCAGAUUUAAUGUCGCCUUUUUUGAGAAUGCGAUGUCAUUGGAGCGACUAAAUCGAUGUCAACCGAACAUAAGAAGAACUCGUCUUGCAAGCCGAUUAUUCAAACUGUCCAGCUACCGAAGACCGUACACAUCGGCGUUCAAGGCCAGUUCGGGGGCUACUCAGGGAGUUCUGGAUGAAGUGGUCCUUGGGUGGUCUAGUUAUCCUUUAUGGGCCGCGUCAUUGAAGAGCGGAUUGUCAAACGACUUCAUAAUCAAGAUGGGAAGCUCCGAAUACUAUGUGUGCACUCCAAGUCAAGAGGACCAGUUCAUCCCAUAUCCCCGACUAAGGUCGGUAACAUGUAUCCGUAGGACCCUUUGUGUAUAUAUAUAAACCAAAGGUUCUUAUGCUGAGAGGCAGGUUAUCUCAUCUAGGGUUUUAGCUCAUACGAUCUCGAGGUAGAUCAAAUCUGUAACCAUCAUAACCCGUCGAUAUAAUCAAGCAGGACGUAGGGUUUUACCUCCUCAAGAGGGCCCGAACCUGGGUAAAUAGUGUCUUCCCCAGUCUCCUCCAACCCAUCAAUCCUAGGUCUACUGUUCGGGACCCCCUACCCGAGAUCUGCCGGUUUUGUCGCCGACAUUCCUCCUUGAUAUAAUUGCGGAUGGAAUUGAAGCGGCAUUUUAUGUGUCUGGUCCUUUUAUGAAACCUUGGUUCCUUGGCUAGAGCAAUGACAUGUUGUCACAAAAUAGGGUUAGUGGAUCGAGUGCACUAGGCACAACUCCAAGAUCCAUCAUGAACUGCUUCAUCGAGACACCUUCUUUCUCUACUUCUGAAGUAGCUAUCUACUCUGCUUCACACGCAGAAUCAACUACUACACAUUGUUUGGAACUACACCAGCUUACCGCUCCACCAUUUAGAAUAAAUACGUAUCUGGAUUGUGACUUAGAGUCAUCCAGAUCAGUGUCAAAGGUAGCAUCGACAUAACCCUUUACCACAAGCUCUUGAUCACCUCCAUAAAUGAGAAACAUUCCCUUAGUCCUUUUCAGGUACUUAAGGAUAUUCUUGACUGCUGUCGACUGUUCCACUCCUGGAUCACCUUGAGACCUUCCGGUCAUACUUAUGGAAAGGCUGACAUCUUGUCUUGUGCACAUCAUCGCAUACAUUAUAGAGCCUAUGGCUGAAGCAUAGGGGAUGUCACUCAUAUUUUUUGCUAUCCUCUGUAUUCGCUCGGCAUUGAGUCCUACUCAACUGCACACCUUGCAGGAGAGGCUAGAACCCCUUCUUGGACUGAUCCAAUUUUGCACUUCUUCAAAACCUUCUCAAGGUAUGUGCUUUGUGAAAGUCCUAUUAAAGGUCCCGAUCUAUCUCUAUAGAUCUUGAUGCCUAAUAUAUAAGCAGCUUCUCCAAGGUCUUCCGUUAAAAAAUUAUUGUUCAAAUAUAUUUUCACGCUUUCCAAAAAUUCUAUAUUGUUUCCAAUCAGUAAUAUGUCAUCCACAUAUAAUAUUAGAAACACUAUGGAGCUCCCACUCACUUUCUUGUAAAUACAAGCUUCUCUAUACACUUGUAUACACCCAAACACUUUGAUCACCUCAUCAAAGCGAAGGUUCCAACUCCAAGAUGCCUGCACCAGUCCAUAAAUGUAUUGCUGGAGCUUGUAUACUUUGUCAGCAUUCUCUGGAUCGACAAAACCUUCUGGUUGCAUCAUAUACAACUCUUCCUUAAGGAAAUCGUUAAGGAAUGUUGUUUUGACAUCCAUCUUCUAGAUUUCAUAAUCAAAAAAUGCAGCUAUUGCUAACAUGAUUCUAACGGACUUAAGCAUCACUACGGGCGAGAAAGUCUCAUCGUAGUCAAACCCUUGAACUUGUAGAAACCCCUUUGCCACAAGUCGAGCUUUAUAGAUGGUGACAUUACCGUCUGCGUCUGUCUUCCUCUUAAAGACCCAUUUGUUCUGAAUAGGCUUUCGAUCUUCAGGUAAUACUUCCAAAGUCCAUACUUUGUUUUCAUACAUGGAUCCCAUGUCAGAUUUCAUGGCCUCUAACCAUUUGUCUGAAUCCGGGCCCACCAUCGCUUCUCCAUAGCUCGUAGGUUAUUUGUUAUCCAACAACAUGACCUCUAAGAUAGGAUUACCGUACCACUCAGGAGCAGUCACUACUGGAAUCAAUAAAUUUGCCGUCUGCCGUGCCUUUGCCGUCUGCUGACGCAUGGCAAAGAUGCUCUUUGCCGUCAGUUGGUACAAAGCGGACGACAAAGAUGUUGCAGAUGGCAAAGGUCUUAUUUGCCGUCUGGCACCUCUUUGCCGUCUGCUGACGCAUGGCAAAGGCCCUAAAGGCGGACGGCAAAGAGCACGCGGAUGGCAAAGGGGCGCCACCCUAACGGCCAACUCGCGACGCACCCCACCCACACCUUUGCCGUCUGCCUCCCNGACGCCACCGACACCCAACACCACCGACCAUCGACGCCACCGACACCCGACACCACCGACCAUCGCCGCCACUAAGCCGACGGGGUCAUAAUUUUGUAAAUUAUGAGUUAGGUCACAUAUUUUCCGAUUAUGUUAAUUAUAAAAACAUCAUAUUUGUGUUGAUCGGGUGAAUUUCAAUGUGCAGUUGUUCGACGACCUCCACGUGCGUUGGACGAGCUCCGCCCUUGCGUUUGUUGGUGAGCACAAAUGACUUCUCCUCCUACCCCCUUAAUUUGCUCUGUCCCGGUCUUCGUGCCGAUGAAACUUGCUAGCUAUAGGUUUCUUCAAUCAUUAGUAUGCGUGACCAGUAUGCGUCUCCCGUUCGAAAGGGUGACAUCUAUAAAUAUGCAUUUCUUUGCAUAUUUAUAACCGCCAUCCUUUUGAAUUGUCCAACAUUAUCAUGGACAGCCCGAGUAUGUGUAGAUUGGGUUUGUUUUCCCGUAUGCUAUGCUCCGGAUCCGAUGCGGAAUUUCGUCAGUGCCUCCCCUGUUGUUCUCCAGGUACACAUCCUCUCUGCUUAUUGCCGAGACGUGUAUCAGCAGAACAGCGGGGAGGUGCUGCCGAAAUUCUGCGUCGCAUCUGGAGCAGAGCAUGGGAAAACGAACCCAGUCUACACAUACUCGGGUCGGAUUAGGACCUAUCUUUACCUAUUAGCGUGUAGGUUGCAUGGACGUAAUAAAACUGACAAACUUGAUUAGCGUAUGAAUAUAGAUGAUGAAUUAUAUAUUUAUUUCUUGUGCCCCCAUAGGUAGCUAGGCAACAUGAGUGAUCGUGCUUCGAUGUACACUGGUCACCCUAGUCAGAAAGACAUGACCCAUGAAUGGUUAACAAAAACCAGGGGGUUUGUGAGAGCCGCAUUUGCAAAUGGCCAGCAUAAAACAUGGUGCCCCUGUCCCAACUGCGACAACUGGAAAAAGCAGACAGAGUUUGAAAUGGGUAAACACCUGCAGAAGUGGGGUUUUACGCCUAAUUAUAUGGUCUGGACUUUUCAUGGUGAGUGUGACCAACGUGCCAGAGCUGAGGUGAUUCUUCGUCGCACCGACGAGCAUGGUACCGGGAUUGAAGACAUGGUGCAAGACUUUGAUGAUGCUCGUGAUUCGGACGAUGAGAUGGAGGAAUCUGCAAAGGCCUUCUAUGAAAUGCUGGAGUCUUCAAAACGUCCUCUCCACGAACAGACUGAGCUUUGUCAGCUGGAUGCCAUCGCACAAGUAAUGGCUCUGAAGGCUCAAUUCAACCUAGGCAGAGAAUGCUACGACGCGAUGAUGACGAUAUUUGGACGCUUUCUACCCAAAGGCCAUGUACUGCCUGCAAACAUGUACCAGUCAGAGAAAAUCCUCCAUGUACUUAAGAUGCCCUAUGAGAAGAUACAUGCCUGUGAGAAUGGAUGUGCCUUAUUUAGGCUUGAGUAUGCGGCCUUGAACUAUUGCCCCAUUUGCAAUUCUUCCAGGUAUAUUGUGGUAGACAACGGCAUGGGUGAGAAGAAUCAGACCAAAAUCCCCAUUAGUGUUCUUCGAUAACUGCCAAUCGUACCAAGACUUCAACGUCUUUUCAUGGUCGAAGAGACGGCCAGAUAGAUGACAUGGAACAAAUUGGGCAAAAGAACCGAACUAGAUGCGGAUGGGAAUAAGAUGCUGGUACACACUUUAGAUGGUUUUGCGUGGAGGCACUUCGAUGCAUUACAUAAGGAUAAAUCGGAAGAUCCAAGGCAACCUAGAGUUGCCAUCAGCACGGAUGGGUUCAAUGUGUAUGGUAUGACGGCCUGUAUUUGUCAUUCCACUAAAUUUGCCACCCGGAGAGAUUAUGAAAAGAAAGAACAUAUUCCUGACGUUGAUAAUUCCAGGGCCCAACUAUCCGGGGAAGAAUAUGAAUGUGUACAUGCAGCCGCUUAAGGAUGAGGUGCAAGAAGCCUGGGAUAAUGCGAUCAAGACCUACGACGUGGCUAUGAUUUUUUUUUUCAAAAUGCAUGUGGUACAUGUACUCGACGCAUGAUUAUCCGGUGUUUGCGCUAUUCGCUGGCUGGUGUGUGCAUGGAAGGUUCCCGUGCACCACAUGCAAGGCAGCACUUCAGUUCCGUUGGCUGCAGGCUGGUCGCAAGUAUUCUUGCUUCGACAUGCAUAGACAAUUCCUGGAUCCUAACCAUAAGUUCAGAAAAGACAAGAAGAAUUUCAUCAAAGGUAGAGUUGUCAAAAACACUGCACCAGCUGCGUUGACAGGCCAACAGACCCUUGAUCAGUUAAACGCUCUCGAGCCUGAUCCUUUGCGUCCAGGAUACUUCAAAGGGUAUAAUACGGAACACGUCUGGACUCACAAGUCAUGCUUAUGGGAUCUCCCUUACUUCAAAGACCUCCUUUGCCCACACAACAUUGACGUGAUGCACACUGAAAAGAAUAUUUCGGAGGCCAUUUUUGGUACAUUGUUCGGCAUAGGUGGGAAGUCAAAAGAUAAUCCUAAGGCUAGAAUCGACCUGGAGGUUCUAUGUGAUAGACCGUUGCAAAACUUGUGACAACGGAAAGGAAAGCAAAGCAUAGCGAAGCCAAAGGCAUGGUUCAAUCUUGAAAGGCCAGCUAUGAGGGAAAUGCUAUUGUGGGUGAAAAUGCGGUUGAUGUUCCCCGAUGGGUAUGCUGCGAAUCUAAAGAGGGGAGCGAGUCUUGAGAAAUUGAAAAUAUUUGGGCUCAAGAGUCAUGAUUGGCACAUAUGGAUUGAGCGGGUAAUGCCGGUGAUGUUGCAUGGCUUUAUCCCUGAGGAUGAAUGGCUAGUACUGGCAGAGCUUAGCUAUUUCUUCCGUUCUCUUUGUGCGAAAGAACUAUCGCCUGGCGUGCUAGAUGAAAUGGAAGAGUUGGCGCCGGAGUUGAUCUGCAAAUUAGAAAAGAUCUUUCCACCGGGCUUCUUUAAUCCAAUGCAACAUUUGAUUUUGCAUCUCCCGACCGAGGCAAGAAUGGGGGAGCCCGUUCAAAAUCGAUGGUGCUACUCAACUGAGAGGAUGCAGAAGACGCUUCGAGCUAAGUGUAAAAAUAAACGUAGAAUUUAAGCAUCGAUGGCCGAGGCAUUCAUUACUGAGGAGGCGACAAACUUCGUGACAGCACACUACGAAGCCAAAAAUCAUCAUUUGCAUAACCCGAAGCCUCGGUACAGUGAUGGCGCUCGAGAAAAAGUUCGAUCCAACCUCAGCCUAUUCAAAGGUAAGCUCGCACCAUCCAGUGCUUCAAAAGGGAAAUCGUUGGAUGUCGAAGAAUGGCGGACCAUUUCAUUGUAUAUCUUCACCAACCUAACAGAAGUGCGGCCGUACAUCGAGUAAGUUCUCGGUAAUUUAUUGUUCCGCAACUUGUAAUUGCUUUGAACUACUCUUAUUCCCGGAUAUUUGAUAUAGUCGAUACGUCGCCGAAAUCUCGGAUGGAGUGGUCAUCGAAAAGGAUUCGUCGAAGAGUAUGAGCUUCUCGCAAAGCAUGGAGGCGACUAUCCCGGUUUCAUCUCUUGGUUCAAACAAAGGGUAAUUUAUUACAAUUAAGGGCCCAUUUGAUUUAUUGGUCUAAUUUGCGGCUAAUGCAUCCAUUCUUUCGUAUUAAACUUGUAGGCUAAUGCAGAGUCUAUGGACGCCGAGUUGAGACAAGUCGCUAAUGGUUUUGACUAUAAGGUCCGUUCAUUUGACAAAUACAACAUCAACGGGUAUCACUUUCGUACCUUUGGCAAAGAGCUAUCUAUGCCCGACCUAAAGACUACAAAUUGUUCUGUCUCUGCUAUGGGCGAAGGAGACACCGAGUAUUAUGGAAUGUUGGGAUGAUCCAAAUCUCAAAGGUUGGGAUGUCGUUUAUGAAGUACCACCACAUUUUAGACCACCUACCCUCAAUGAAGAGGAUUAUGAACCUCACAUUAACCCAGACACAUAUGAAGGAGAAUUCUUCCAAGAAACACGUAUGUCUAAGAAACGUUUCAAGAACCGUNNNNNNNNNNNNNNNNNNNNNNNNNNNNNNNNNNNNNNNNNNNNNNNNNNNNNNNNNNNNNNNNNNNNNNNNNNNNNNNNNNNNNNNNNNNNNNNNNNNNNNNNNNNNNNNNNNNNNNNNNNNNNNNNNNNNNNNNNNNNNNNNNNNNNNNNNNNNNCCGCUCUACUUCACCCCAGAACAUUGAAGUAGACAGCAACAGUGAAUCCGUCUUAACCCCUGAGCCUGAUCAGGAAGAGCUGGAAGAAGAAGAGGUUACUGCUGCGGAUGAACUGUCACUUCUUGACCGAUUACAUAAUGGUGGCCUUCCACAUGUUCUUCGUGAUAGUGAUGAUGAUGAUGAUGCAUUUAUUGANNNNNNNNNNNAUGAUGCAUUUAUUGACCCCGAAGCAUAUAUAGACGAGGACGAUUGUUAUUAGUUCAUGUCAGGUAUUCAACUAUUAUACUAUAUAUAAAUUUUGAGUUCAUGUUACGUAUUCAAUUUUUAUUAGUCAUGUUGGUAUUUAUNNNNNNNNNNNNNNNNNNNNNNNNNNNNNNNNNNNNNNNNNNNNNNNNNNNNNNNNNNNNNNNNNNNNNNNNNNNNNNNNNNNNNNNNNNNNNNNNNNNNNNNNNNNNNNNNNNNNNNNNNNNNNNNNNNNNNNNNNNNNNNNNNNNNNNNNNNNNNNNNNNNUCAUGUUGGUAUUUAUGACGAUGAUACACUUAAAUUAUAUACAUUUUAUUACUCUUGUUUGUAUUUAUGUUGUACUAAUUUCAUUUACUCUUUGUCAUGACAGGUGUUGAAAGAUGGUGGGAAAGGGUCGAAAGCACUCCGCGGCUGCUUCUUCGUCGGCGGGUGAUGGGAUGGGUACUUCCAUUCCUGCCUCGCCUCUUCGGAAAGUGUUGCUCUCUACUUUGCAAGGAGCGGCCCCCGUGAGAGGAGGUCGACCCCCCGCGAAGCCGAGAGGCACUAAAGGUACACGUUGUAUUCAUGUUGGUAUUUAUGUUGUACUCAUGUUGUAUGCAUAUUGGUAUUUAUAUACAUUUUAUUACUCAUGUUGGUAUUUAUGUUGUACAAAAGGUACACGUGGCCGCGGGAGAGGUAGGGCUACACGGUCUCCGCCACCACCCCAAGCUGAUUCACCUGAGCACAUGACUUCUAGGGUGGAUUCGUCUGAGGUGGAGGCUACAUGGUCUCUGGUUCACGAGCCUCGGGUCGACGAGCCUUCGAUCCACGAGGCUCCUGUCCCAGAGGCUUCCUUCCAGGCGACUCCGGAGCAAAGCAGGGAUGAGGGUACGUCCCAAGAGACCCAGUGGGAUACCUGGCCUGAGGCAAGUGGCCAUGCUGGUAGCGACGAGGAGCUGGGCGAGGGGGCUACCGUGUACCAGCGUGGUAGUUCGGGGCUCCCGCUCGUGCCAGCGACCCCCGAGCAGAGGUGGUCGAUUAGGCCAAAUGGGGACAAGUAAGUUAAUUUACUCUUGUUUAACCUUUUGCCUUCGGGUUUUCUCAAAUAUCUAAUGUUUUGGCUUUAAUUUGUCAUACUGUAGGGGUUGGAUUGUUGCCAAGGGUGUCCGCAAGCCCAACAUCGUCCUUGGUGUUCUUUGCCGUCAAAACUUCCCAGGGUUUGUUACGUUGCCCGGUCAGGAGCGAGGGGUAGGAAUGACCUGGGAGCACUACUUGGGUGCCCCGGCCCCGCCGGAGGUGGAUAUCGACGGUGUUUUGUGUGACACGAGGGCGGACAUGGUGAUCCGAAAGUUCUGGGUAAUUUCUCUUUCACACAAUUAUAAAUCAACCAUAGCUAUUUAUUGUACUAAUCGGUGUUGUCUCGUUUGCAGACCUACUACAGGUGUGAGGAGGGAUACGAGGAGGACACGACAAAGGUUAUCGAAACCGAAUGUCGCCGCCUACUUCAAAACUUCCGGCACGAGGCUCGGGUGCAGGCUGUUCGAGACUACUAUGCCACGCUGCGUAUUAGGCUUGACAAGGCGAAGUGCCGUGAUGCUAAGAUGGAGAAGGAGCAUUACAUGAAGGUAAUUACAUAUUAUUAAGGCUUUGUAGUUAGUUUCCUUGAUUUGGUUCUUAUGCGCUCAAAUUUCUCUUUAUUAACUUAGGUGCCCCCGAGAUGGUGUGUGGAUAAGAUGGAUUGUUGGGAGGCCUUGGUGGAUCAGUGGUGCUCCGAAACGUGGGAGGCCAGCCACAACAACGCCAAGGAGAGGCGUGGCAAAAUGGUUGGCGUGCCACACCAUCAAGGGAGUGUCAACUUAAUCCAAUUUGGCGAGAACUGGGUAUGUGGUUUGCUUCAUGCCUCAUGCAAUUCAAUUUUCCUUCUCCUUUACCAAUACAAUUUUCCUCUCUCUCUCUUGUAGGCGCGUCACAAUAAGACGGAGGCGCCACAGAUGUACGACCUGUAUGUGAUGGCCCAUACUGCCUCGUACAAGAAGGUCAAGGCAUUCUCUAAGUCUGACCUCGAGCAUCCAGAAAACUUCACCAACAUCUCCUCCCACGACAAGCUCGUGAAGUACAGAGAUCACGGGAAGGCGAGGAAAGGGGAGGACUUUAACCCGAGCGAGGGGCCUAUUGAUCCAGAGCUGGUGAUGAUAGCUGGCAACGGGAGGCCCCAUGGCUCGAUCGCCAUUAGAGACGGCCUUAUACGUUGUCCUAGCUCUCUCCGGCAGAUAAAGGCACGCCAAACGAGCUCUUGUUCGGAGAUAACACGUCGUGCACGGCCAGUCGAGCUCGCUAUCGAGGUUAGUUUAAUGGACUCAAAUAUCUUUCCGCAUUAUGUUGUGCGUUGGAACCAAUAUGCUAACAAUGAGUUGUGUUGUAGGCUGCUAUUCAGAAAGAGAGAGAGGCAAUGCAGGCGGCUAUGGCGGAGAAGGAUAAGGAAAUUAGGGAGCUGGAGGAGACGACGACUGCAUUGGUGGAGGCGGAGAGGGCACGGAAUGAUGCGUCUACCAGGGCCAUAUACGAGCUCUUCAUGGUAAAUUUCUUCUUCAUGUUAUUUCAAAUCUUGCAUUUGAAUGUCCGUUUCAUUAAUAAAUAAAAAGUUUGACUUGUCGAAACCAAAUGUUCAGUCUAUGUGCGAGAAGAACGUCCAAGUCCCUCCGCCGAUGCGAGUCGUUAACGUGGCGGGGACGGUGAGUUUCAUUUCAGUGGAGUGAUCUUAAGAGUGUCCUCAUGCUAACUACACAUUGCAAAUGAUGUUUGGUGCAGAAUAUGUCCCGAAACGCAUCGCACGACCCUUCUACAAUCGAGCCUUCUCUAGGGCAGCCUUCUCCAGGGCAGCCUUCUCCAGGUGAAACAAGCCAGAGCCACCGUGCUUCACCCUAACUUAGGUAUGUUAUUUCUAGUGUUUUAAUAAAAGAUAGCUAGAUGACAUAAUUAGCUUAGUUAGCUCCAAAAAGACCUAUUUAAUAAAAUAUAACUAGAUGAAAUAGUUAGCUUAGUUAGCUUAGUUAGCUUAGUUAGCUUAAUUAGCUUAGUUAGCUUAGUUAGCUCCUCCUUCUCCUUCUUCUUCUUCCUUCUUCCUCCUUCUCCUUCUCCUUCUUCUUGUCUUCUUCUUCUCCUCUUCCUUCUCCUUCUCCUCCUCCUCCUCCUCCUCCUCCUCCUUCUUUUACUUCUUCUUCUCUUUCUCUUAUUCUAUGUAGCUUAGACUCAUCNNNNNNNNNNNNNNNNNNNNNNNNNNNNNNNNNNNNNNNNNNNNNNNNNNNNNNNNNNNNNNNNNNNNNNNNNNNNNNNNNNNNNNNNNNNNNNNNNNNNNNNNNNNNNNNNNNNNNNNNNNNNNNNNNNNNNNNNNNNNNNNNNNNNNNNNNNNNNNNNNNNNNNNNNNNNNNNNNNNNNNNNNNNNNNNNNNNNNNNNNNNNNNNNNNNNNNNNNNNNNNNNNNNNNNNNNNNAAUGACAUAAUUAGCUCCAAAAAGGCAUUCUUAGCCAAUUUAGCCCGAAGAAGGGGACGAGAGGAGAAGAAAGAGGAAAAAUGAAAGGAAGGAAGAAGAAGAAGAGGAGAAGAAGAAGAAGGAGAGGGAGGAGGAUAAGAAGAAGGAGGAGAAGNNNNNNNNNNNNNNNNNNNNNNNNNNNNNNNNNNNNNNNNNNNNNNNNNNNNNNNNNNNNNNNNNNNNNNNNNNNNNNNNNNNNNNNNNNNNNNNNNNNNNNNNNNNNNNNNNNNNNNNNNNNNNNNNNNNNNNNNNNNNNNNNNNNNNNNNNNNNNNNNNNNNNNNNNNNNNNNNNNNNNNNNNNNNNNNNNNNNNNNNNNNNNNNNNNNNNNNNNNNNNNNNNNNNNNNNNNNNNNNNNNNNNNNNNNNNNNNNNNNNNNNNNNNNNNNNNNNNNNNNNNNNNNNNNNNNNNNNNNNNNNNNNNNNNNNNNNNNNNNNNNNNNNNNNNNNNNNNNNNNNNNNNNNNNNNNNNNNNNNNNNNNNNNNNNNNNNNNNNNNNNNNNNNNNNNNNNNNNNNNNNNNNNNNNNNNNNNNNNNNNNNNNNNNNNNNNNNNNNNNNNNNNNNNNNNNNNNNNNNNNNNNNNNNNNNNNNNNNNNNNNNNNNNNNNNNNNNNNNNNNNNNNNNNNNNNNNNNNNNNNNNNNNNNNNNNNNNNNNNNNNNNNNNNNNNNNAUUUAAUAAAAAAUGACCUAUACUUAGCUAAUUAUCCUGGAAAUGACAUAAUAAGGCUUACGUAGCUGCAACAUGACCUAUUCCCCCUAACUUAGAUAUUAAAUGGCCUAUAAUUAGCCGAGCUAGAUCAAAAAUGGCUUAAUAAGCAUAGUUUGCUCCGUAAUGACCUAUUUUACGCAAGUUAGCUCUGAAACGACCUAUAGUUGGCUAGGGUUCCACCUAAAUGACAUAAUUAGCUUAGUUAGCUCCUAAAUGGUCUAUACUUAGCUAAUUUCUCUCCGAAAUAACCUAUAUAUACACUACUUCAUCUAUUAUUAUUCUUCUAACUUUCUUAUUUGUCAUUUUGCAGAUUACCUUCACUUCACGGGAAGCUUGGAAAAUAUUGAUGGAAUGCUUGAAGAUGAUUUCUUGUAUCAUGGGUUGUAUUGAAACUAUUGUAGUAUAUGAAUAUAUGAAACUUUGUAUGCACGUGGAUGAAACUGGUGUAAUAUAUGAAACUUUGUAUGCACGUGGAUGUAACUUGAAAGCUGGAUAUAAGAGGUUAUUUUAAUAUGGUUAUGAGUACGGAAAGAAAUUUAUUUAUGUCAAAUAUAUAUAUAUAUAUAUCCUGAUUAUUGUUAAAAAUGCUGGAUAUAACAAAAAAUAAAUAAAUAAGGGGCUGGUUCCCCUCUUUGCCGUCUGCCCCAAGAUGGCAAAGGGGGGAAUCNNNNNNNNNNNNNNNNNNNNNNNNNNNNNNNNNNNNNNNNNNNNNNNNNNNNNNNNNNNNNNNNNNNNNNNNNNNNNNNNNNNNNNNNNNNNNNNNNNNNNNNNNNNNNNNNNNNNNNNNNNNNNNNNNNNNNNNNNNNNNNNNNNNNNNNNNNNNNNNNNNNNNNNNNNNNNNNNNNNNNNNNNNNNNNNNNNNNNNNNNNNNNNNNNNNNNNNNNNNNNNNNNNNNNNNNNNNNNNNNNNNNNNNNNNNNNNNNNNNNNNNNNNNNNNGUCUGCCCCCACAUGGCAAAGGAGGGGAGGCAGACGGCAAAGGGGGGGAAUCUGCCCCCUCUCUCUCCCCUCUUUGCCGUCUGCCCCCACAUGCCAAAGGAGGGGAGGCAGACGGCAAAGGGAGGAGGCCUGCCGUUAACACUUAACGGGGACGUUGCACCCUUUGCCGUCCCAGUUAAUUUGCCGUCUGCCCACUCAUGGCAAAGAUUCUUUGCCGUCCGCUUUGGGAAAGCUGACGGCAAAGAACCUCUUCACCGGAUUUUUUUUACCGUCUACUUUGCCAUCUCCUGACCGACGGCAAAGCCUUUCCCGUCCGUGGUUGCACCCUUUGCCGUUCGCUUAGGCAGACGGCAAAUUUAUGAAUUUCAGUAGUGAGUACGAGUCCUUAUCGACCUACGAGGUAUGAUAGUAACUUGAUUUGAAGCUUCAUGAUCACCAUCAUUAGCUUCCUCUUCAGCUGAUGUAGGCGCCACAGGAACAUCUUCCUGCACCGUGCUACCCUCUUGUUGAACUAACGGUUCAAUAACCACAUCAAGUUCUAUCUUCCUCCCACUCAAUUAUUUUGGGAGAAACUCUUUCUCGACAAAGGAACCUUUUUAGCGACAAACACUUUGCCCUCGGAUCUGAGAUAGAAGGCAUACGCAAUAGUUUCCUUUGGAUAUUCUAUGAAGUUGCAUUUAUCCGCUUUGGGUUCGAGCUUAUCAGACUGAAGCCUUUUGACAUAAGUAUCAUAGCCCCAAACAUGAAGAAACGACAGCUUAGGUUUCUUGCCAAACCAUAAUUCAUACGGUAUCGUCUCAAUGGAUUUAGAUGGAUCCCUAUUUAAAGUGAAUGCAAUUAUAUCUAAUACAUAGAUCCAAAAUGAUAGUGGAAAAUUGGUAAGAGACAUUAUAGAAUGCACCAUAUCCAAUAAAGUACGAUUAUGACAUUCAAACACACCAUUACGCUGUGGCGUUCCAAGCGACGUGAGCUGUGAAACAAUUCCACACUGUCUUAAGUGCAUGCCAAACUCAUAACUCAGAUAAUCUCCUCCUCGAUUAGAUCACAAGAAUUUAGUCUUCUUGUUACGAUGAUUCUCAACUUCACUCUGGAAUUGCCUGAACUUUUCAAACAUUUCAGACUUGUGCUUCAUCAAGUAAGUAUACCCAUAUCUACUCAAAUCAUCGGUGAAGGUGAGAAAGUAACGAUAGCCACCGCGCGCCUCAACACUCAUUGGACCACACACAUCAGUAUGUAUUACUUCCAACAAGUCACUUGCUCAUUCUAUUGUACCAGAAAAUGGGGUUUUAGUCUUCUUGCCCACAAGGCAUGGUUCACAUGUGUCAUGUAAUUCAAAAUCAAUUGACUCCAAAAGUCCAUCAUCAUGGAGCUUCCUCAUUCAUUUUAUACCAAUAUGACCUAUGUGGUAGUGCCACAAGAAAUUGGUACUAUCAUUAUUAACUCUACAUCUUUUGGCAUCAAUGUUAUAAAUAUGUGUAUCAUUACUACCGAGAUUCAACAAGAAUAAACCAUUCACAUUGGGUGCAUGACCAUAGAAGAUAUUACUCAUACAAAUAGAACAACCAUUCUUCUAUGAUUUAAAUGAGUAACCGUCUUGCAUUAAACAAGACCCAGAUAUAAUGUUCAUGCUUAACGCACGCACCAAAUAACAAUUAUUUAGGUUCAUGACUAAUCCCAAUGGUAAUUGAAGAGCGAACGUGCUGAAGACGAUCAAAUCAACCUUGGAACCAUUUCCCACGCACAUCGCCACUUUGUCCUUUGCCAGCGUGCAUUUAUUCCAUAGUUCCUUUUUUGAGUUACAAAUAUGAUCGACCGAACUGGUAUCAAAUACCAGUGCACUACUACGAGAGCUAGUAUGGUACAUAGCAACAAAAUGUAUGUCAUAUAUACCUUUUAUCGUGGUUCUGUCACAGUAGAUGUCCUCGUGAAAGGACUAAGUCUAGGAGCCAUCGCAACUAGGUGGCGACUUGAAGGGGUUAAUCGGGAGACAAGAGACGUGAGUUUACCCAAGUUCGGCCCCUCCGACGGUCUUGAUUACAAGGGUCUAUUGAUGAUGAUGGUCUUGAUUACAAGGGUGCGUAAUCGCUAACCUAGCUCUUGAGUGUUUCUUACUUGUCCUUUUGCACCUCACGGCCCCCUUUAUAUAUGCGGUUGGAGGCCGUGAGAUUACAAUAGAGUUUGGGUUGUAUUGCAACUCGUGUCCUCUUCUACUUCUUACUAACUUGGGAUAAGGAGAAUCACCAUGUUUCCCUUGAUUAGACGGCCUCCAUGUGAUGGGCUUGAGCCGACCUUUGGCGAGUUGCCCCUUGGGCCUCUGCAUCGAGGGCCUCCUGCCCAAAGUAUAGUCUAGGUGGGUUAUCCCCAUUGUGGGUUGACCCAUGGGGUAUAUACCCAACAUUAGCCCCCUUUAGUUUGAAUUUAUUCAUGUUAAACUUUAUCUUGAAAAAUGAGAGAAACAAACUCAAAGGUUAGGAUUAGGAUGAGUCGCCUUUUGGGUUGGCAAUCUCCCUAUGAGAAAGAUAUUUGCCCGAGUCAAUAUUUUGCCGGGCAUGUGUCUUGUUCAGGACUUGGUACUUUCUCCAAUCGUAGUGGUCAUGUCGCCAUCAUAGUUGCUGCUGCUGUCACCUAGUCAUCAUAGCGGAUCUUACCCAACAGUGUUCAAAUCUCCAUCACGCGCAAAAAUUGAGGCGUCCACUUUGCCGCCAAUUACUCCAUUUUUUAAUGCACCUCUUCGAGUCUUAUUAUUAUAAAUAAACCAGCCAGGUUUACUUUUUCACUUCUUAUUCUUCCUCUCGCCCGCAGUCCUCUCUCGAACUCCGAUGACGUCCAUCCUUCAUGCGACUUCAUUUCUUUGCAACCAUCACCGGGAUUCAUCUCUGUUAAUAGCGGAGGUCUCCCGUGCGCGGUCAACCACAACCCUCUCCCGCUUCUAUCUUUGAGUCCCCAUUAUCACUUUUGAGGUCACCAUUGCCAUUCAUAGUUCAUCAGAAGUUCAUCAUGCGAGUUGUAGAUUGCAGUCGUAGAUCUCUUGCUUUGUCAUGUGUGCAUUUGAUGCGGUUUCACCACCGCUAUCGUCCGACAACUCUUGUAGAUCUGUAGUAGAUUCAUAUUGCCUUCCCGUAGACAUUUUGUCUCUGUAGUUCUGUUAUUUAAAAUGUAUUUCUUCCCCUUUUUAUGCAUCAUACAUAUUCAAUUGCUCAACCAGUUACAUAGAAAAUCGGUUUGUGGUUAGAUUUCACUAAGUCAUGAUAGGGUCUCUGGACCACUCCUAAGCCGACUUCAUGUAUGCGUGAAACAUUUAAUAUUCUCCAUCAGCCAACUUACUCAAAGGGGGAUUAUUAUAUGACUGAAUUGUAUGAUCCACCAAAUUCUUCUUUACAAUGUCGACUCUUCUAAAAUGCGUCUGACUUUAGCCAAUGUAUUGCUUGAAAGCGGCUUAAAAACCGACUCAUCAUACUUUUCUCUUUAGGUGUUGUAGUCCUAUGUUUGCAAGACCAUCAUGCCUUCCAAGACAUGCAAAGCUUGCGGUUAGGUCAGAUCUCAAGAAUUUGUCCUAACCUUGGAUAAGCUUGUCACCCAAGGCCCUUUACUGUCUAAAAAUGUAAUCAACUACCAGGCUCCUGACGAAGAAAGUCCCCACAACCCAAGCAAGGGUAAAUAGUUUGUUUCAUUGACCACAUGAAAAGGGGAUUUUGCCCCCGGCUCAAAAUUCUUCAAAAAUCUCCUUCACUUUUAUAACCUCAGGCCCCAAGAUAUUGGUCCCAAUUCAGUGACCAGCAUUUUCCAAUUCCAUGUACUCUGUGAAGUGUAUCUUCAAAUAGAGCCAUAUGUGACUCUCUUCGGAGAAUUCUUUUAUCUUAACCAUCAUACUGAAGUUAAGGAAGGCCCUAGUGUUGAACUUGGUGGAUUUUCUAUGCAAAAGAGAAAGAAAAAUAUUUUUCCUAAUACCAAACUGGCGAGUCAUCCAAAAGGGUGGAACAAAACCUGGUUCUAUUGUAAAACCACCGCUCCUGUGACCUAUUGUUGGGUUAUACAUUGGACCGUCUUGGUGCCAAUGAGGAUCCCCUAGUUUGGCCAACUAAGAAAGAAAAUAAAUUGCUCACCCCCAUGUUGUUGAAGUUGAAAGCCCUUAAUGCCAAUGGCCUCACUGGGAUCGAUCUGAUCCGAUCUUGGAUCAUGUGGAGGAUUCAACCUGUCACUAUAAGAGGCGACUUAAUGUGCAAUUAUACCAGCGAGUUGAAGGAUGCACAACACUUCAACAAGAGAGAAUUGACUAAGAAAGCUGUCAACAAACUGACCAAAACAUCCUUCUCUUACUCUAAGGAAAAGAUGCAGAAAAACCGGGCUAGCUCCAUUCUACUUGAAAAAUCUAGUCCCUGUAGUAAGUAUUCUAUCAACUUUUGUCUAGUUCCUUUUCUACUUUAUUUGGUGCUCCACUCUAAUUUCCGAGCUUAUAUCUUUGUAGGACGACUUCGACUUCUGGAAAACCGUUCCCAAGGCUUCCACUCCUUCUUCGAGCCGUCAAAAAGAAAAUGCAUCUUAGCCAUCUUCAGGAGAGGAAUCUGAGGUAAACCUCGAUUCACUUGGUCAUUUAUUUAUCAAUCUUGCUUACGCAUCCUCUUAUGAGGAUAACACUGAGACUAGUCAAGCCCGCGAUGUCGUGGUAAUUUCGAUCUACUCCAGUUGUUGAGAAACAUGUGUUGUCAAGAAGACAUGACGUACCGUCAGAAAGGUUAAAUUUUCAAAUCCAGGUGCUUACGUAGAUCCCAACUCUCUUUUGAAGUGAGAUCCACAAGCUGCCCAUUCAAAAUGCAAAACCGGAGUUGCUCCAGAGACUUCUCUGUGGGCUUAGAACCACUGACUUGCAAGCAACGCCAAGAGGUGCGACAUGGUCCAAUUGUUUCUCAUCCUCAAGCCGGUCUCUUAAUACAACCCCUUAGUCCGUCUAAUUCACUUUAUCUCCAGGAGUCGUCUCGUUCAUAUAUUUAUUCAACUGUGACUCAACUUCCGACUUUCACCAUCAAUCGUAGGUAAGCUUGUAUUUAAGCUGUCUUUUGUUGACCACAUCGUCACUCUUUGUUUGCAUAUUUUGAUAAACCUAUUUUGUUGAUCUGUAGAGCCAAAGCUUUUGUUAGAACAAAGGCGGGAGAACCUUCUUCCACUGCUGGGGAAGAUAAUGUCCAAAAUCCCUCUUCUUCUGAAGCGGUAGCAAAUAACCCACAAGUGUAGGGGAUCACAACAGUCUUCACGAGUAGUAUUUCACCCUAAUUUAUUGAUUCUACACAAGGGGAGCCCAAGAAUAUUUAUUGGCCAUGAUAAUUGAGUUGGAAAUUCAACAACACUUGGGAUAUCUUUCUACAACAAGUAUUUAGUAGCACAUAAAGUGAUAGUAGUAAUAGUAAUAGUGAUAGCAGCAAUUUUGGUAACAGUAACAACAGUAGCAAUUUGGUAGAAGGUGUGAUAGUAGCAACAAUAGUACUAACUUAGCAUGAUUCCGUAUAUGUAACACGUAGGCACGUGGAUCAGCAAUAAAUAAUGAUUUAUAUGACAUUGAUCAUAUAAUAGUUACACACUAGGGCGACACACAACUAUCUCCAAUUCAUCAAUAUAAUGUAGGCAUCUAUUCCAUAUAUAGGCAUACGUGCUUGCGAUAAGUACCUGCAUGGCAUCUUUUGUUCUACCUCCCCCCCCCCCCCCCCCCCCGGUGGCAGCGGGUCCCAUNNNNNNNNNNNNNNNNNNNNNNNNNNNNNNNNNNNNNNNNNNNNNNNNNNNNNNNNNNNNNNNNNNNNNNNNNNNNNNNNNNNNNNNNNNNNNNNNNNNNUUCAGAAGAACGCAAUCAUGCAUAAAAUAUGGGAUGCAAAUGAAUGAUCUAUUAACAUCCGUAUUUACGAAAAUUGGGAUGUUACAUUAGGGUUGCUCUGAAACCCAAAUUGAUUGUUAUUUUGUUGAUUUCCUUGGUCAGAACAUUGCCUAUUACCAGAAUUCCCUUGGUGCUGAUAAUUUCAUCUAGAGCCGCCUUGUUCGUUAAAUCCUGACCCACGGAAACCUCCAAACAAGCCGCCUUGCGGGCCGGGUUGUCCAUACUGACUUGAAUGUCCACCAUUAGCCCCCAGGUGGCCCUGAAAGGCUUGAUUUCCAAACUCCUGCAUGAUAUAGCAAUUUUCCCACGAAUGAUUAGAUGGAUUACCUUGAGUACUAUGCUUUGGGCAAGGCGCUUUUAGCGCCUCCUCAUAGUUGUGCAGCUUAUUCCCACUAUAAGACCCUCCUGAACAGCGUUGGUGUUUGAACCCAGUGUUGGCCACGAACUCUAAGUCGCCCUCAGGAUGCUUCCGUUUAUUUUUGUGGUUUCCCUAGUUCCCACUUUGUUGGCUACCUUUGGCACCCUCUCCUUUCUUUCCCUUGCCGGCCUUAUCCUCAUCUGACCCCGGGCUCUUUCAUGCCAUCUGACUCGGCAUACCUAGUAAGAACAUCCAUCAAGUCGUCCAUGUCCUGAGUCUUUCGCUUCAAACAACCCAACUUAAGAACUAGUGUCUGGAAAUGAAAAUUCUUCUCCAAGAUCAAAACGGCUUGCAAGGUUGUUAUACUAUCCAAUGAAUGAAUUAUUUCCGCAACCCGACGAGUCCAAUGAUGGGCUGACUCGCCCGUGCGCUGAACGCGGUGCUAGAGAUCCACAAUUGCCAUCGAGCACUUGCAUGCUCCUUGAUUUUUUUUGAUGAAAUGUUCCUUCAGCUCCGCCCCAAGUGUUGAUGGAAUUAGGUGGAAGAUUUUUAAGCUAAGUUCGGGUCGGUCCUUCCAACAUCAUCGUCAGAUACUUUGCACAUACUGCGUCGCUGACGUCGAGCAUGUCCAUGGCUAGCUCGUAACUUUCAGUCCAUGCCACUUGCUCAAGAUCUGACGUACAGUUUGGCACCUUACGAGGUCCUUUGAAGUCUUUAGGCAUGGGCUCACUUCAAAGAGCCGCAGACAAACACGGAACACCAAUCAUCCUGGUGCUACUUCUGGCUCCAUGUGUUGCUGACUCGGGCUCUGUUAGAGGCGGUUGAGCCGCUUGCCUCAUGGCCGCUUCUGCCUCCGCGUAACGGGCGACUCUUGUUGUGUCCACCAAGUGUUGGGCAUUCUAUAAUCCUAGCCGGGUCGAGGAAAACCCAAGUUUGUUUUCACCGUGCGUUACUGGAAACAGUCGGCAACUCCCCAUGAUGGCUGACAUAAGGUGUAGAGUGCAUUCAAUCUCGACUGUAUGAGUACUGCACCUGUUGGGCCACUGUCGUCUUUAGCAUCUCAAUCGUGUUCCUAGCUUCAAUUUCCACCGGGGUGCGCCUGUGUAUGGGGAGCGCCUCCAAGUGAUGCGUUGCAGCCAACAUAUUAUCAACGGGGUUAGAAAAAUGACCCCGUGAUGUGUGAAAAUGUUGUGGCGAUGCCUGAGUCGACUAUACCUGAGCCGUUUGUGCUUGAGUCGGCUAUCCCUGAUCAAGCAUCGGGUUCUGUGCAGUGCCACGGGUACGCGG
rnacentral:lncRNA from 1 species